UGGACACAAUAUCUUUAUUUUACAUUUAUGUGGUGCUGAGGAUCGAACCCAGUGCCUCGUGCAUGCUAGGUGAGCACCUACCUCUGAGCCACAAACCCAGCCCGAAGCAUAAUUCUUUAACUUUUUUUUAGUGGUGCUGGGGAUUAAACCCAGGGCCUUAUUCAUGUGAGGCAAGCACUCCAUCAACCGAGCUCUUCCCUAGCCCUUAACUUUAUUUCUUGUACUUCAAAAUAUUUAUUGAUUAUUGUGUUCUGAUGUAGCCAGGAAGAGGAGGGGGGAAGCAUAACCACUUUAGGAAGAGGGAACUACAGAAGCAAAGACCCUAAACUAGCAACAGAAUGGGGGUAGAGCUAGACAAUAAUGGCCUUAUCAAAGUUUAUCUUUCAAAAAAAAAGGGGGGGGAUUCACUUCCUACUUCAUGGUCCUAUUGCCUUUUUUCAGCACUUUUCUUUCUCUUCCUCUUCUGGGGAUUCAACACAAAGCACUCUACCAAUGAAUUAUAUCCCCAAUUCCUUGUCAAAUAAAAUUUGACACAGGAUCUCACUAUGUUUCUUGGAAUGGGUGAACUUCCUGCCUCAGCCUCCCACCUCAGUGGCUGGGAAUAUAGGAGAGUGCCACUAAGCCUGGCCAAUCAGCACUUUUUUUUUUUUCUUUUAGUACCAGGGAUUAACCUAGUGGCUCUUACCUACUGAGCCAAGCCACAUCCCCAGCCCCUCCUCCCCUUUUUUUAUACCUUUAUUUUAUUUAUUUUUAUAUGGUGCUGAGGAUUGAACCCAGGGCCUCACACAUUCUAAGUGAGCACUCUACUGCUGAGCCACAACUCCAGGCUCCUCAACUCCUAGGCUUUUUUAUAUUUUAUUUUGAGACAGGGUCUCCCUAAAUUGCUGAGGCUGCCUUUUGAAUCUGUGAUCCUCCUGCUUCAGCCUCCUGAGAGGCUGGAAUUGCAGGUGUGGGUCACUGUGCCAGGCUCAGCAUCUUUAACUAGCACAAACUCAUAGGCUUUAAAUUACAGUGGGCAGUGGAUUGUGGUGGUGCACACUUUUAAUCCCAGUGAUUCAGGAGUCUGAGGCAGGAGAACAUCAAGUUUGAGGUCAGCCUCAGCAAUAUAGCUAGACAUUGUUUCAAAAGAAAAAAUAAAAAGGGCUGGGCGCAGUGGUGCACGCCUGUAAUCCCAGCAGCUAGGGAGGCUGAGGCAGGAGGAUCGCCAAGCUCAAAGCCAGCCUCAGCAAAAGCCAGGCGUUAAGCAACUCAGUGAGAUCCUGUCUCUAAAUAAAAUAUAAAGUAGGGCUGGGAAUGUGGCUCAGUGGUUGAGUGCCCCUGAGUUCAAUCCCUGUCACCUCCUCCAAAAAUAAAUAAAUAAAAGGGCUGGGGAUAUAGCUCAGUACCAAAGCUCCCCUGGGUUCAAUCCUUAUUACCUGGGGGUGGAAAAAUCACAGUGGGCACAUUUACCCACAGAUGUUCUCUGGGCAAAGGGAGAUUUGAGUAGAGGGUAAACUCUAAAACCCUGCUCAGCGCUCAGUGCAAAGACAGCUAUGGAUAUUGUUAUCUUGCAUUAAUUUGGAUAUAAAAGCCAAUACUAAAAUCGGUCUUAUGUAUCAUUCCUUGAUACAGGAGAAACACCAUUAGGACUUUUUUUUUUAUACCAGGCUGAUACUAAGUCCCUAAGGUAUAUAUGUAUAGACAUAUAUAUUUAUUUGUCUUGUUUUGUUUUUAAGUAUUCACCAAUAUGUUAAAGAAGGGUGUCAAUAAAAUUCCUUAAGUGAUCAGAAGGAUAGGGAUGGAAGUCAGGUCCCUCAAAUAUGUUUAUGUGUGUGGAAGAAGGUGACAAUCCCAGGAGGGGAUUCUGCUGCAGUGGGCCUCCUGUCUUGGAUCAGGAGGGCUUUAGGUAUAGGGAACAGGUUAGGUGAUUUUUUGGUUGCUUUCUCCUUUUUCUUUUUGGUGGUUCUGGGGAUUGAACCCAGGGACUCUCUACCACUGAGCUACUUCCCCAGACUAUUUUAUUUUAUUUUUUAAUUUUGUGAGAGGGUUUCGCUAAUUUGCUCAGGUUGGACGUGAUUCUACUGCCUCAGCCUUCCAAGUAGCUGGGAUUACAGGCCUGUGCCACAGUGCAGGCUCAACCUCACUAUCAGAGAGUCGAUUUCUAGUUUCAUUCCACCUCAAAUUGUGGGUCUUUUACUUAGCCACAAACCGCACCCCCCCCCCUUUUUUUUAAAGCCAGAGAGUGGGCUUAGAGCACUUUUCUGAGAGCCUAGUACUCGGGGACACCUGUGACACUCCCCCAGGAGUGUGCCCAGGACUACGCCAAGCCGCACUUCAGCCACUGGGCGGAGGCGGGGUCUAGCAGGGCUGCGCCCGGAGAUUCACCUGUGCGUCGAGAGUUGACUCACCUGCCCUUCCCCAGCCCUCCCCCGCCAGCUAGCUGUUCCAGGAGUCACCGCUCCUCCUCCCGCUCGGGGGUCACUGUCGGUCUGAGCGCCCACUAAAUUCCGAGAUGAGUAAUUCUAGGGGCAGGGGCGAAAAGAUAUAGGUCCUCCGAGGGUCCGGGCCUGUAGUAUGAGCUCUUCCCCUCGGCGCGGGCAGCGAAAGGCCAGGAAAAGCGGGCGGGGCAGCAGGGGGAGGCGCCGGGAAGAGCGUGCCGGAGGGAGGUGCCGGGAAGGGCGGGCGGGGCCCGGGCCGCGGGCGGGGGGCGGGUGCGCCGGGCGGCCCAUUUCCUCCUCUGAGCCGGACAGGAGGUAGACAAAGCGGCGGCCGUCGGCUUCGCGCCUCUGGACUCCUGCUAUCGUCCCGUUCGACGCAGGUAACUCUUCGCACCCCCUUUUGCGCAGACGUGAGUUCCCAUCUGGGCAAGGGGCCCUUCAGGCCGGGACGCCUGAAGCCGGGCCUUGUGGUGGGCUGGCGGAGCGCAGUCUCUUGGGCGACGCUGUCUGGGAUUGGGCUCCAGGCGGGUAGGGUCAGGCGUCCUGCGGGCGGCCGCUUCGCCGGGGCCUGGGCACUGUGCGUGCGGGGGCCGAGCUUUCCAGUGGUCUGGAAGUUGAGGGGCAGCGGCGGCUGGAGAAGAGACGCCGCUGGCCCGGCGCGGCCGCGGCGCUUCCUCUUGGAAAAGUUUCUCCUGUUUUCUAAACUUUGUUCCCGGGGCCUUGGCGCUUGCGCGGGUUCUUGUGGUGCGCCCCCAGCUGCCUUUCGUCUGGUGGUGCGUCCGCGCCUUGUCCCUGUGCGGGUGUGUUCCAGCAGUUGAGUUUUCCAGGGAAGUGAUUGUUGUCUGGUUUUGUGGCUGCUGCUCCCCUCCCCCUCCUGGCCACGGAAACUUCCCAGUGCGCUGGACACGACGUUGGCAGGACCCGAAUUCCGGCCUGGGCGAAUUUGAAAGUCGAAGUUCUCCCUUUCUCUGACAGUCUCUUUGGUAAGGUGCGCCACACCCGUAUGGACUUUGGCGUGUACAUAUCAACCUUUACUUUGAAAGUACUCAGUCGCCUUGUUCUACCUAAUUGUAUGUAUUUCUCUCAGUCUUAGUUUUUAGAAAUGGCAUUAGAGAAUUUGUUUUUUGACUUUUGAAGGUGUGUGUGUGUGUGUGUGUGUGCACGCGCGCGCGCGCGCCUGUGCGUGCGCUGGGGUGGAGGUGGGGAGGGAGAAAAACACGAGAAAACUGGUCAGGAAGGAUGUUGACUGACUGUUUAAGCUUGGCUCGGCAGCUGUGGCUUCCCAAUACUGCAGGCAGCGGUUGUCUCCAAUCCCGGAUUGGAACCCUGUUGUGUCCUCCUGAGUCUUUGUAACAUUCGGGGGUGUGUUUUGUACGGAAUUUAUAAUAACUUAGAAAAUAAGGAAAGAUAUGUUAGGUUUCCCAGUAAAUUUAAAACCAUUUCAUAUUUAGGAUGAAGGAAAUGCUGGCGGUUUGAUGAAAGGAUACUUUGUACUUAGAAGUGAUUUUUUUAAAGGUCAUCCACGCGGUUUUAAGAAACAGGAUUUGUAAAGAGUGGAGGAAUCAUCCAUUGUCUCUGCUCAAUUGUUUACCUUCUUGAAUUUUUGUAAGUUAAUUCCCCCCCCCCCCCCUUUUUUUGGGAGCACACACGGUCUUUGCCCUUAAAGGGCUCACAGCAUAUUGGAAGAGGCACACACACAGAUGUAACAGACUGCUCUAAAGCCAUAACAAUACUGAUAAGAAACUGUGUGGGUCUAAUUUUAUGUAGUACUAACAGCAGAAGAAACUUGUGGAAGCUCAACAGAGAGCUGAUGAGUUUAUUUUGAUGUCUGGAAAGGCAGAUUUUGGGAGGUGGUGUAUUUGAAUCAGACAGAACUUGAGUUUUAAAACUUUAUAUGAAGGGAGAAAGUCAUGAGAUGCAUAAGAGGGCGUGGGAUAUUGUGAUAUCACUUUCCAGGUUUUUCCUUUACUUUUGGCUACUCUUUCCUCCCUCCCCCAUGUAAGUUCUAUCCAGAAUACCUUUGGUCUUCCACACCAUUGAUGUGGCAUCACCUUCACUUUCAUUAGUUAACAUCUCAUUUUACAUACUGACUUAGAGAUCUAAGAUCAACUCUUCCCCCUAGUUGAAAAUCAGUGCUCUCUGCAGUCUCUCAUUAACCUUAAGUACUAAUAUCCAGCUGUCCAUUUUGAAUACAGAUGUCUUCUCCUCAUCAUCCAGGUAGUCAUCUAAGUCCCAGGGAACUCUUUGAAUGUCCUACAUGCUUUUCAAACUCAGCACGUCUAAAAUGAGACUCUGUUCUCUUCAGGAGGCAUAAACCAGAUGUGGAGAUUCAGAGUAACUGGCAGGGUCUUGGAAUUCUUUUGAGAAAGUAUCAUUAGUGUAAGACAUGACAGCCCUGUGUUUUGGGGGUGGUGAUGGUGUGUGUGUUGGUGAAGAUCUAGACAGGAAUAGGAUCCUCUGCAGGUGUAAAGGGCCUGAGAUAGGAGAGACUUAAUGUGUUUGGAGGCCUUGAGACUUGUAGCCUAGGACUCUUGGGAUAGACAGAAGGCUUCACAUGAGAUAGCCAGGGAAGAGAGAGGCCAGGCCAAAGAGGGCCAUAUGUUUAUUUUAUUUUAUUUUUUGGUACCAGAGACUGAACCCAGGGGCACUUAACCACUGAACCACAUCCCAGCUCUUUUUUAUUUUUUAUUUUUGAGUCAGGGUCUCAGUAAGUUGCUUAGGGCCUUUGCUAAGUUGCUGAGCUGGCCUCCAACUUGGAAUCAUCCUGCUUCAGCCUCCCAAGUCCCUGAAAUUAUAGGCAUGUGCCACCACCUCUGGCCCAUAUGUGGAUUUUAUUCUAAAUCUGUAAGAACCAUUGUAGGGAGUUUUGUGAUCUAAUAACCAUUUUAACUUCUGUUGAUGCUUAGAGAAGACUUAUUUGUAUGCAUGGGGAAUCAGGUAGUUGAGCUAGGAACUUAGAUGGCAGGGAAUAAAGGUGGUAGGGAUAAAGGAGCAGUAUUUUGGAGGAAUGAAAGAGGAUUUAAGUAUGGAUUGGAUGGCUAGGUUUCUUUGUAACAUUGUUUCUUCUGUGAUGCAAGUUUUGUGUGUUACCCCUAACUCUCCCCCCCACCCCCAUGAGCUCUUAAUUAGUGUCUAGUUUUAGUUCUUUCAUUUUUGGUAGCAUUGUUUAUUGCUUACAUUUUAAGGAAAACUUUAAUUGUGCUGUACCUUUUUAAGAAAUUUAUUUAUUGUUGUAGAUGGACACAAUACCUUUAUUAUUUUUAUGUGGUGCUGAGGAUUGAACCCAUGGCCUCACACUCUACCCCUAAGCCAUAACCCCAGUCUUGUGCUGUACCUUAUUAAUGUCCCAGUUUGCCUUUCCUGAUAGAAAGUGAGCCUCAUAAGCUCCCUGAAGGCAGGAACGGAUGGCCUCAGUUGUUGGGGUGGCACUUGGCAAGGAGAGAAGAUUAGAUUCUUGUUGAAAAAAGGAGAACCAGAUAUGGCGGCCCACACCAGUAACUCCAGUGAUUUGGGACAUUGAAGCAGGAGGAUGGUAAGUUUGAGGUCAGCCUCAGCAACUUAGUAAGACUCUUUUUCAGUAUAAAAAAUAAAAAAGGCUAGGGAUGCAGCUUAGCAUGAAAGCAUGGGUUCAAUCCCCAGUACCAAAAACAAAACAGAAACAGAGGUCUUUUAUUUUAGGGUUUAACUCCUGGGAGAACACUAGUAAGUGAGGCAACUGAUUGUGGAGGGCCUGGAAUAUCAAAUUGCUAUUUUUUGUAAAUUGAAAAUCAUCUCCAGUUCUGUUUUUCUUUUUUUCCUUCCACCUAGAUAUAAUCUUUGAUGAAAUCAUCUCUCUACAGUGUCCAAUUUACAUAUCUUCCUUUUCUGUUCUUUGCUUACCCUAUUUAUUUUCGUAUACUGGGGAUUGAAGCCAGGGGUGCUCUACCAUCGAGCUAGACCUCUAGCCCGUUUUACAAUUUUUUUUUUCUUGUGGGAGUGUGUUUACUGGGGAUUGAACUUAGGGGCACUUGACCACUGAGCCACAUCCCCAGCCCUAUUUUGUAUUUUAUUUAGAGACAGGAUCUCACUAAGUUGCUUAGUGCCUUUCUUUUGCUGAGGCUGUCUUUGAGCUCUUGAUCCUUCUGUCUCAGCCUCCUGAGCUGCUGGGAUUAUAGGUGUUUACCACUGGGCCUAAUUGUUGACUUUUUAAAAAAGAUUUUUUUUUAAAAGUUGUUGAUGGACCUGUAUUUUAUUUAUUUAUAUGUGGUGCUGAGAAUCAAACCCAGUGCCUCACACAUGCUAGGCAAGCACUCUGCCACUGAGCUACAACCCCAGCCCGUAGUUUGACUUUGAUACUGGGUCUCACUUAGUUGCUAAGACUUGAUCUUGAACUUUCGCUCUUCCCUCUUUCCCCAGUGGUGGUGAUUGAACAUGCAAGGUAUGCAGUCUAUUACUGAACUAAACCCCCUGAUCCAAACUUUUGAUCCUCCUUUUUCAGCCUUCCAAGUAUCUAGGAUAAUAGAAGGCAAGAGCUACUGUGCCCCACUCUAUUUUUUUUUUUUUUUUAAAUAUUUAUUUUUUAGUAAUUGGCAGACACAACAUCAUUGUUUGUACGUGGUGCUGAGGAUCGAACCUGGGCCGCACGCAUGCCAGGCGAGCGCGCUACCGCUUGAGCCACAUCCCCAGCCCCUGUGCCCCACUCUAAAUUCUACUCCCUCCCCCGCUUUUUUUUUGAUGGUGCUGGGGAUUGAAUCUGGGGAUACUUUACCACUGAGCUACAUCUUAGCCCUUUUUUUACACCUAUUUUCUUUGUUUUUUGAGAACAUGUGUUGGAGUCCCAAUAUGUUACCCAGGCUGGCCUUGAACUCCUAGGCUCUAGGGAUUCACCUGUCUUCCAAACAGCUGGGACUACAGGCAUGUACCACCACACCCAGCUUAACAUGCUUUUUCCAUUUCUUUUUGUACUAGAGAUUGAACCCAGGGGUGCUUAACCACUGAGCUACAUUCCUAGCCCUUUUUAUUUUGAGACAGGACAUCAAUCACUAAGCUGCUGAGGCUGGCCUUCAACUUGCCAUCCUCUUUCCUCAGUCUCCUGAGUUGCUGGGAUUACAGGCAUGUGCCACUGCACCCUGCAAACAUGCAUUUUGCAUGGAAACUUUGAUCACUGUCGCUGAAAAUAAUUUUUAUCUGAAAUCCUAAAAUUUGCACCUGACACAUGACAUUCUCACUAUCCUUUGUGUGUGUGUGUGUGUGUGGGGGGGCAAAUUAUAUGUAACAAAAUAAACCACUUGCACUCUUAAAGUGUAUGCUUCAGUGGCAUUAAAUCCAUUCACAUUAAACAAUAACUUCCCAUUCCCAACUGUCAUCCUGUUUUAUAUUUUUUUUAAUCUCUCUGUCUGUUUUUCUUUCCUGUGUUGGGCCUCCCAUAUUCUAGCAAGUGCUCUACCCCUGAGCUAUAUCCCCAACCCUUGUAUGUAUGUAUGCAUGUAUGUAUGUAUUUAUUUUUGUGACUGGUUUUAACAUUGUCAUAAAGGUUUAUUCAUUUUGUAACAUGUUUCAGAAUUCCCCCCUUUCCCCCUUUAAAAAAAUUUUUUUUUUGAGAGCUGGGGAAUGAAUCCAGGGCCUAGCCCAUACUAGGCAAGUGCUUUACUACUGAACUACAUCCUACAUUCCCCUUGACCUUUAAAAUUUUUCACCUUGAGAGAGGGUCUGGCUAAAUUGCCCAGCCUGUCCUUGAACCUUUGCCUCAGCCUCCUCAGAUUACAGGUGUCUGCCACCACACCUGGUACUUUCCUUCCUUUUAAAGUCUGAAUAACAAUAUUCCAUUAUCCAUUCAUCUUUUUACAGACACUUGGGUUAUUUCUACCUUUCAGCUGUUGUGAAUAAUACAGCUAUGAAUGUAUGGGUACACAAAUACCUGUUUGAGUUUCUACUUUUAGUUUUUUGAGGAAUAUAUCCAGAAGUGGAAUUGCUAGAUCAUGUGGUAAUUCUGUGUUUAACAUCCCCCCCACCCCCACUGGGGAUUAAACCAAGGGGCACACUAUCACUGAACUAUAUCUCCAGACCUUUAUUUUUGUUUGAGUCAGGGUCUCAUUAAGUUGCUAGCUUUGAAUUUGCAAUUUCAAAUAGCUGGGAUUAUAGGCAUAGGCCACCUCUGCCAGGCCUGUGUUUUUUAAGAACCACCAGAGUGUUUUUUAUAGCUGUUGAGUUGUUUUGGAUUAGCACCAGAAGUGCAUCAGGGAUUCCAGUUUUUCUACUUUCUUACCAACACUUAUUUAUGUUGUGUGUUUUUUUAAAUAUUGAUUUUUUUUAGUUUUUAGGUGGACACAAUAUCUUUAUAUCUGUCUCNNNNNNNNNNNNNNNNNNNNNNNNCAUUAAGUUGCUAGCUUUGAAUUUGCAAUUUCAAAUAGCUGGGAUUAUAGGCAUAGGCCACCUCUGCCAGGCCUGUGUUUUUUAAGAACCACCAGAGUGUUUUUUAUAGCUGUUGAGUUGUUUUGGAUUAGCACCAGAAGUGCAUCAGGGAUUCCAGUUUUUCUACUUUCUUACCAACACUUAUUUAUGUUGUGUGUUUUUUUAAAUAUUGAUUUUUUUUAGUUUUUAGGUGGACACAAUAUCUUUAUAUUAUGUGGUGCUGAGGAUCGAACCCAGUGCCUCAUACAUAUUAGGCGAGCACCCUACUACUGAGCCACAACCCCAGCCCCUUGUUUUUUUUUUGGAUAUAGCCAUUGUGAUGAAUUGAGGCUGUUUGUCUCAUUGUGGUUUUUAUUUGUAAUUCCUUAAUGAUGAGUGAGCAUCUUUUCAUGUAAUUAUUGGCCAUUUGUAUAUACAUUUGGAGAAAUUUCUAUUUAGCACCCCCCACCCCCGCCCCUCAUAGUGGGGAUUGAACACAGGGGCAUUCUAUCCCUGAGUUAUAUCCUCAGCCCUUUUUAAUUUGAGGCAAGGUCUGUCUAAAUUGCUGAUGCCUAGUAUUUGCCCAGCCUAGAACUUGAGAUCUUCCUGCCUCAGUCUCAUGAUUAGCUGGGAUUACAGGUGUGUGCCACCAUGUCUGGUUAAACCAUCCAUUUUUAAGUUAAAAAACUGUUUUUUGAAGUGCUAGGAACCCAGGGUCUUAGGCAUAUCAAGAGUUCUUAAUGUAUUCUGGACAGUAGUGCUUUAUCAAAUAUAUAUGAUUUGCAAAUCAAGUAUCUUCUCCCAAACUGAUGUGUUGCCUUUUCAUUCUGUUGAUGGUGUCCUUUGUUGCACAAGUUUUUAUUUAUUUACUUUUAUUUAUUUAUUUCUUUUUUUGAUGGUGGUACUGGGAGUGGAACCAGGGGUACUCUACCACUGAGUUAUACCCACAGCACUUUUAAUUUAUGUAUUUUAAAAUAUUGGGACAGGGGGCUGGAGUUGUGGCUCAGUGGUAGAGCACUUGCCUGGCAUGUGUGAAGCCCUGGAUUUGAUCUUCAGCACCGAAUAUAAAUUAAAAAAAAAAAUAAAAGAUCCAUUUACAGCUAAAAAAUAUUUAAAAAAAUAUUGGGACAAGAUCUCACUAAGUUGGUGAAGCUGGCCUUGAAUUUGAGUUUGAGAUCUUUUUACCUCAGCCUUGAGAAUAGCUGGGAUUAUAGGCAUGUUGUGCCAUGACUCUUGGCAAUAGUUUUUUAUUUUUUUUGGUACCAGGGAUUGAAUCCAGGGACUCUUAACCAUUACUAAGUUGCUUAGGGCCUUGCUAAGUUGCCCUUGAGCCCUGCUAAGUUGCUGAGGCUGGCUUUGAACUCAUGAUCUUCCUGCCUCAGCCUCCCAAGAUGCUGGGAUUACAGGUGUGUGCCACUGCAUCUGGCUAAUAAUAGUUUUUAGUUUUAUUUACUUAUGGUGCUGGGGAUCAGACUCAGGGCUUCAUGUAUGCUAGGCAAGCAUACUACCACUGAGCUACAUGCCCAGCCCAAUAGUUUUCACUUCAUUUAUUUAUUUAUUUACUUAUUAAUUUUUGGUACCGGGGAUUGAACUCAGGGGCAUUCGACUAUUGAGCCAUAUUCCCAGCCCUAUUUUGUAUUUUAUUUAGAGACAGGGUCUCACUGAGUUGCUUAGAGCCUCGCUUUUGCGGAGGCUGGCUUUGAACUCGAGAUCCUCCUGCGUCAGCCUCCUGAGCUGCUGGGAUUACAGGCGUGCGCCACUGUUCCCGGCUACCCAAAAGUUUUUAUUUUUGAUUCAGUACAAUUUUUGUUGUUGUUACUGUUGUAUUUUUGAUGUUAUAUCUAAGAAAACAUUGUCAAAUUUAGUGUCAUGGAAUUUUUUCCUAUAGCUUCUUCUACCUUAGCUAAACUGUGGAUACCUUGAAAGUAGAUAUUAUAUUACUAUUCCAUCCACUUUUCCUCCUACACAGUAAGCACAUGGUGAACAAGGAAAUACAUUUUAAAAUGUAUUCUUAGGUUAUGGUAAACAGUAGAUUUAUGGGGUGAGGUGUUUUUUAUUGCUAAUUUGUUAUCAAUUAUGUGUCUAUUUGAUGAAUUAUGAUUCAUCAUAAUGAUUAUGACAUGCUCUUAGGAGUUUUCAGUCUUAUAAGUUGCAGCCCUGGAGUUUCAAUGUGGUCAUUUGUUUAAUGAAUAAGUUGAUUUAUAAAGGAUAUUUACUUAACUUAUUAUUAUUUUUUUUAAGAGAGAGUGGGGGGGAGGGAGAGAGAGAGAGAGAGAGAGAGAAUUUUAAUAUUUUAUUUUUUAGUUUUCGGCAUACACAACAUCUUUGUUUGUAUGUGGUGCUGAGGAUCGAACCUGGGCCGCACGCAUGCCAGACGGGCAUGCUACUGCUUGAGCCACAUCCCCAGCUCUACUUAACUUAUAAUAUUAUAAAAUUAUGUUCUAUUAUGGAGUGCUGAACAGGGCAAGUUCUUUUUUCUUCUUUUGGUACUAGGGCUUGAAUGCAGGGUGCCCUACUAUUGAGCUAUAGCCCCAGUUCUUUUUUCUUUCUUUUCUUUUUUAAAAUUUUCCCUAUUCCCCAGCACAAAAAGCUUCACUCCAGUCCUUUGUAAUCUUUGAGACAGGGUCUCACAAAUUACUUAGGGUCUCACUAAGUUGCCCAUACUGGCCUCAAAUUUGAGAUCCUCCUGUGGGGAAAAAAGGUACAUUCACACAUUGCUGGUGGGACUGCAAAUUGGUGCAACUCUAUGGAAAGCAGUAUGGAGAUUCCUCAGAAAACUUGAAAUGGAACCACCAGUUGACCCAGUCAUCCCACUCGUAGAUACCCAAAGGACUUACAAUCAGCAUACUAUAGUGAUGGCAGACACAUCAAUAUUUAUAGCAGGUCAGUUCACAAUAGUUAAACUAUGAAACCAACCUAGGUGCCCUUCAACAGAUGAAUGGAUAAAGAAACUGUGAUACAUACAUAUAUACACAAUGGAAUAUUACUCAGCCUUAAAGAAGAAUGAAAUUAUGGUAUUUUGCCAGUAAGUGCAUGGAACUGGAGAAUAUCAUGCUAAGCAAAAUAACCAAUCCCAAAGAACUAAAGGUUAAAUGUUGGCCAGGAGUUGUAAUCCUGCAGCUCAGGAGGCCAAGGCAGGAGGACCGCAAGUUCAAAGCCAGACUCAGCAAUUUAGCGAGGCUCUAAGCAACUCAGCGAGACCCUGUCUGUAAAUAAACUAUAAAAAAGAGCUGGAGAUGUUGUUCAGUGGUUAAGUACCCCUGGGUUCAAUCCCCUCUACAAAAAAAAAAAAAGAAAAAAAAAAAGACCAAAUGUUUUCUCUGCUAUGCGGAUGCUAAUUCACAAUAAGGGGAUGAGGAAGAAUAGAGGUAUUUUGGACUAGAUAGAGGGGAGGGGAGGGGGUAUGGGAGUAGGAAUAAUAGGAGUAAUAGUAAAAUGAAUUGGACAUUAUUAUCCUAUGUAUAUAUUUGAUUACAUGACCUGUGGACCUGAAAAUGUGUUCUACUGUCAUGUAUAACUAAUUAGAAGAAAUAAAACGUAUAUUUAAGAGCUGAGAUCCUCUUGCUUCACUUUUUGAAUCUAAUUUACUGUCCAAUCCUUUCUCCAGAAGUUUCAUGCCUUUUCUAAUAGACUGAGGAAUUCCAAAGUAGGUAUAUCAGAUUAUGUCAAUACACUUUUUAUUUAGGUGGGGUGACAUUUCCUGGUGCUUCCUACUCUGUCAUCUUCCCAGAGUGUCCUCCCAUAAUUUCCUUCCUUUUUAAGGCUGAGUAAUACUGCAUCUAUAUGCCACAUUUUGUUUAUCUAUUCAUCUUUUGAUGGACAUGUGGGUUGUUUCCAAGAUAUGUUACUUUUACAGCUUUUAAAAUUUUGCUAGAUUCCCCUCAAAAAGUGUACUUUAUUUGCAUCUGUGGUAUUAUCAAGUUAUUUUCCAUUGUUGAAUGAAGCUAAAAGUAGGCUUUUUUUUUUUUUUUUUUUUAAUUUCUGGGGAUGGAACACAGGGCCUCAACAUGUGCUAGGUGAGUGCUCUGUUAAAUCCCCAACACAGCUAAAAGGGAGGGUUUUGAUGGAGAUCAUACUCCUUAGAUCGACAUAGAAAUGUCCCUCAGGCUGGGUAGGUUCAUAGUAAAUUUUGGGAGAGCUGUGUACUUGUGGUGGUAUAAUCCAGAGAGUGUUUGGCACUGAAUUUCUGUCCAGUAGUGCUCCUUGUCAAGGAUGAUUAUGGGUCCACCUUAUCAUCUGUAGCACUUCUAAAGCCUCUUCAGAGGUUGAUGCUGACUUGUCUUUUGCAGCAUAGAUUCUGAGUGAAUAACAUUUUGAACACUUAAAUUGUGUGGUUUAGUUGUAUGCAUAUGCUGUUAGAAGUAAAUAAGUUUACUUUUCUAUAUCUGGAUUGUGGAGGUGAUAAUUCAAAUGUUUUUAGAAUAGUAUAGCAAAGAGUGAGAUAUAUAUAUAUUUUAUUUUUCUUGCAACUGGGUCUUACUAUUUUGCCCAGGCUGAUCUGGAAUCUGUGGGCUCAAGCGAUCCUCUUGCAUUGGCCUGGCUACUGUGCCUGGCUCCAAAGAAUGAAUUCUACAGCGUAUAAAAAGUGAAAAAAAUGAACAGAUAAAAAAUUUCCUUUGUGUGUUUUUUGAGGCAAGUUUGACUUUUUUUUUUUUUAGGUGGGGGGUGGUAUCCUGGGGAUUGAGCCCAGGGGCACUUAACCACUGAGCUACAUCCCUAACACUUAAAAAAAUUUUUUUUGUUUUAGUUGUUGAUGGACCUUUAUUUUAUUUCCUUAUUUAUAUGUGGUGCUGGGAAUCGAACCCAGUGCUUCAUGCUCUACAGCUGAGCUACAACUCCAGCCCCUCCCUAACACUUUUUAAUUUGUUUUUCUUUUUGAGACAGUGUCUUACUAAAUUGCUGAGGCUGGCCUUGAACUUGUGAUCCUUUUGCCUCUGCCUCCUGAGCUUCUGAAUAGGUAUGCACCCCUAUGUGAAGAUGAAAUAGUGAGAUAGCAGGGCACCAUGGCACAUGCCUGUAUUCCUAGCAACUUGGGAGGCUGAAGCAGGAGGAUUGCAAGUUCAAGGCUAGCCUGGAUAACUAAGAGGGACCCUGAGACAAAACAAAAACAAAACUAGGGGAAUACUCAGUGAUAGAGCAAUACUGGAUAAAUUCCCCAGUACUAGUUUAAAAAAAAAAGGUAGUAAAAAAUAUGAACUUAAUUAUCUGUUCUGUUUUUCUAUCCCUUAAGUGAUUUUCCGCUUAAUCAUUUUUUUCCCAUAAGUGAUCAUGAAGCCACAAGCUUUGAAGCCUUAAAAAAUUGUUGGUUAUACUGCAAAAUGUCAAAGGAUUUGUCUUAACACCUUUCUCUUCUUUCUUCUUCCUCCUUUUUUUUUUUUUUUUUGUAUUUGUUUUUAGCACCUUGUUUUAAGGAAAAAGUUAAGUGCAUUAAGCAUCUGGGAGAGUCUCACAGGGCAGCGGUCUGUGAAACUUGCCCAGGUGCCAGUGAGCUUGCUUCCAGGUCUUGAAAGUGUUUGUUGGGUUGCUCAGCCCCAUAUUGUGGACCUGAACCAAACAGUGUAGGGAAUUGGACAGUUUAGCUCCAUUUGCUCUGCCUCAUGUUAUUUGCUCAUCUGGUGGCAUCACUAUACUGAAGUAUCCAUUAUUGAAAGUUUUAAGAGUUCAAAAAUAACCAUGCUUCAAAAUAAAACGGUAACAUUACCCUUUCUUAGCUUCUAAAUAUUUAUAUUUUCUUAUUUAGUUUUUUAAUAACUGCCAUACUUUUUUUCAUGUACAAGUAUGCCUCAACUCCAUUUCUAAUGGAGCUUGAAAUUAGCAUGUGUUUCUGUUUAUUUAUUGAUGAACUGUCAUCUAUCAAGUCCACUUUUUGAUUGUGCCUUUCAUUACCUGCAAGUUUGGAGUAGUGCAUAUACUGUAAAUAUAGUUCAAAGGGCACCUUUGGAUUUUGUUCUAAAUAUUUGUAACAAAGAUUUGAUCAUUUGGAACCUGAACUGUAUGUGUAGUGUGAUGUGAUUAUUAAAAUGUCAUCUUUUCCAAGUUGUUAUUUUAUUGAAAGAAGGACUGGAAUUAUUUGUGAAGUUAUUCAGUUUUCAUUUUGAGGAGUUUUUGAAUAAAAGCUUUCAAGGACUUACAAAAGAGAAAUUUAUCUUUUGUGUUAAAAUUUUGUAAUGAAUAAUGGGGUAUGGUGGCAAUUCUAGCUACUCCAAAGGCUGAGGCAGUAGGAUUGUAAGCCCAUCCUAGGCAACUCUGCAAGAUCCUGUUUGAAAAUAAAUAAAGAGGCUGGGGAUGUAGCUUGGUAGAACACUGGGGUUCAAUCUCAGUUUAAAAACAAAAAAUUGUAAUAAGUAAUCUAAUCCAGUUCAAUUCUUAGUGUUAAUUAUUUAGUCUUAAUCCAUAAUUUUAAUUUAAAGGCUAAUUCUUUCUUAGACUGCCUACUUUUGACUGUUCCAUUUCAUUAUAUUGAGUUGUGGAUUUUCCUCAUUUUCUUUUUCAUUAUUAAAUAGUGUCAAAAAAGUGGGUCAUCAAUUGUCUUGAAAAUGUCUUAUUGCUAUGGUUAAUAUUAUUUUGUUAGUAUUUGACAUUCUGAAUUGAAGCUGUGAGUUGGAAGCCUGGUUAAUAUCGGGUUACAUAAUCCAGUGAUUUAUUAACCAAGUUAGACUACAGAUUGUUUUUUUUUUUUUUUUUUUUUUUUUAUUUUUUUUUUUUUUUUUUUUUUUUUUUUAAUUUUUUAUUGUGGGUUGUUCAAAACAUUACAAAUUUCUUGACAUAUCAUAUUACAGAUUGUUUUUUAAACUGAAAGUGCUGUUAUAACUCAGAAAACGCAUUUAGUGUGUUGCAUUUUAAGUGACAUGAAGAAUAGGAGCCUUUGCCCUCCAAUCCAUGCCUUCUUUCCAAGCAAAGAUUCAUCGUUACUAUUCAUUCACAGUGUAUUGAAUAUUUUAUUAUAUUAAAUAUUUCAUUAUUAAUUCAGACUCUUAAUCAUAGUUUAUGAACUAUGAUACUGUCGCAAAUAAGCCAUAGGCUUAAAGGGAGAGGUAAGAAUCAGUGUUUUUGGCAUUUUCUCUUUCUGGGGAUUUCUAAAUUGGCAAAGUUUUCCUAUAAUUACCUGUUAUUUUCUUACAUCCUUGGACCUGGAGUCAUCUUGUUCUCAGAAAAGCUUUGGACUGACUUUGAAAUGCAUCUUUAGAAACCUGUCAUUUUGCAGAGAAGUGGCAAAGUGAAAUGUGAGCUUGAUCCCUUGGGAGAGGGAGGAAAAAAAAAGAUCAAAGGAGAUGAAAGAUGGCAACCCUAGAUAGAAAUUUAAGCUUUUUUGGGUUAAGACCAGUGGAAGCUAUGAUGUUUUCCAGGUAGCUUUAUUGAGUCAUAGUCUAAGGCAGUAUUUAGUUUGCUGUAUCUCGGUGACAUUGGGAGGGGUUUGCUUAUAUACAGUACAUUUAUUAAAAGACUGCCUUGCAGGGGCUGCGGUUGUGGCUCAAAGUAGAGCACUUGCCUAGCAUGUGUGAGGCACUGGGUUCAUUUCUCAGCACUGCAUAUAAAUAAAUGAAUACAUUAAGAUCCGUCAACAUCUUUUUUUUUUUUUUUUUUUAGUUGUAGAUGGACACAAUACAGGGUGAGUGAUGUAUAUUCUGAGUUACAAGGCAGGAGGAGGAGGAAAAGUAGGAAACGAUCCCUGGAGUUUCUUCCAAGGGACAAGAAGAAUAGGCUGGGAUAGGAAUGGGAGGGUGCUUGGGUUAGUGGCUGUAAAAUUUGAAGCAAGCUCUGCAGUUGUGUAUGGAGAGAUCCUAUAGACUUGGGAAAUGCAGCUCUAGUGGUGAAGGUGCCAUCUGGUGAUUUUCUACUUGUCUUUGGUGACUGGAACAGAUGGGUUUUUGUUUCUAUUAUAGAUUGGAUUUGGAGUGUUCCUUAGGGACUGAGUCCCACCUUGAUUCUAUUGGGAGGUGGGGCUCAGUGGAUGUUAUUUAAUUUGUCGGGAGUGUACCCUCAAGGGAAUUUGUGGGAACCUGGUCUAUUUCACUUUUUCUUACUUUUUGGACAUUAGGUGGCCAUAUAUACUGCCAUGGGUCCAGAGCAAUGGGGCAAACCAAUUAUGGACUAAAAUUUGUAAAUCUAAGGCCAAAAUAAAUCUUUUCACUUUAUAAUUUGAUUAUCUCAGGUAUUUGUUACAGUGACAAAAAGCUUUCUAACAGCUCCUCUCCUCCUACCCCCACCCUUAUUUUUUUCUUUCUUUCUUUCCCUGGGGGUUGAACUUAGGGGCACUAGACCACUGAGCCACACCCCCACCCCCAUUUUGUAUUUUAUUUAGAGACAGGAUCUCACUGAGUUGCUUGUACCUCACUCUUGCUGAGGCUGGCUUUAACUUGGAUCCUUCUGCCCCAGCCUCCUGAGCUGCUGGGAUUACAGGUGUGUGCCAUUGUGCCUGGCUCUUUCUUUUUAGAGGUGAGAAUAUAAUGGGUUGAGGAUAUUUUUAUAUUAGGAAGGAUGAAGUCCAAACCUUUAAUGCCUUCUUAAUUUCUUAGUUUAUCUUUCAGUCUUAAUGGCUAUUUUUUCACUACCUGUCCUAAUUUUCACUCAUACAGUGGUUUCUGGAAAGUGCCGGUGUUCUUGGUGUCAUUGUCCUUCACAACCUGAAACAACUGCCCUCUGUGGAAUAAUGUCAGAUCUCAGUAAGGCCUCCCGACUAGUUGGGAACUCCAUUGUUUGUGCUAGCCAUUUGUGCUAUCGGAGUUGUGCACUAGUAGAGAAUUCUACAUUUUUGUUAUUUUGUAACUGUAUUCCUAUCUAGACUGUGAGCAUUUUUCUGCCAACUUUUUUUUUGGGGGGGGGGGUACAGGGUGUAAAAAUCUUCAAACCUAACAGAAGAGUUGAAAGAGUAAGUACAAAGAGCACUCGAUUUACCAAUUCACCUAGAUUUAUCAAUUGUUAACACAUUUCAGUUUUGCAGGGAAUAAUAACUCCAGACCAGACCUCAUGGAACUUCACUCUUAAGUUAUUGUCACUCUUGGGAGGAAAGAGUAAGGAUGUGGCCAUGAUACCACUAUCACAUGCAAGAACUUGAUAUAACAUUAUGUAAUGCUUUUUUUUUUUAAGGUGGGAGACAAUACUGGGGAUUAAAUCCAAGGGCUCAUGUAUGCUAGGCAAAUACUCUACCACUGAAGUACAUGUCCAGCCUUUUUCUGAUUUUGAGAUAGUGGCUCCCUAAGUUGCCCAGGCUGACCUUGAACUUGUGAUUCUCUUGCUUCAGCCUCCUGAGUAACUGGGAUUAUUGGCAUGCACCCUGUCUCUAAAACCUUUUUGUGUGUGUGUGUGUGUGUGUGUGUGUGUGUGUGUGUGUAUAGUACUGGGGAUUGAGCCCAGGCCUCUUCCAGCCUGUAAAACCUUUUAAAGAAUGGUCUGAGGAUUAAUGUUACUUCUCCCUGGAAGGCGGAAGCUUAGACCUUCUGAAUAAGAGUAUGUCUUUUGACAAGAUCUUCAGAAGUUUGUAGUUCAUAUUCAUAUUCAGAUUGCUCCAGUUGUCCUAAUGAUGUAUUGUAUAUGUGUAUAAAAUAUAUCACUGUGUAUAUUUUUUUUGGGAUCAGGAAUCAGUAAGAGAUUACGUAAUGCAUUCAGUUGUCAUCCUUUUAGUUUUGAUUUCCAGUCCUUUUUUUUUUUUUGCCCUUCUUUCUCCUUGGCAUUGACAUUUUUGAAGGGUUUAGACAAGUUUUGUAGAUGCUUCACGGUUUGGAUUUGUCUGAUCUUUCAUUCUUAGGGCUUUGCAGUGGGUUGUCAGGUUGUUCCCUGGUGGUGAUACUAAAUUUAAACACUUGAUUAAAUGACAUCUGCUAGAUUUCUGUUUUGUAACUAUACCUGUUUCCUUUUGGUCUUAAUAAUUAAUUGCUAUGAUAUCUGCUUGGGAUUUCUAAUUAGUCUUUCUGUCCCUGGCACCUUGCAGAAUCCCAGAACAUGGCACUUGGUCAUUAAUGAAUGAAUGACAAAAUGGGUCAUCAAAGGUAUAUACUACAAGUUUUAGAGAUAAUUAUUGUGUUUUCUCACCCAGUUUGCAUUACUACCUGACUUUAUGGUCAAGUCUAGACAUCUUUUUGCCUGUCUCUAUAAGAAAAAUACAUUUUUCUUCCUUCUGUGAACUUCUCAGCUAUGUGAAGAGUUUAAGUCUCAUUGUUCUACAACAAAAACUUCUUUUCCCUGUUAUCUGUCUUUUCUCUCCCGCUGCCAGUCCAGAUUCUUUUUUUCAUAUUCUUUGUAUUUCAGACUAGAGUCGUCUAGUCCCUUAUGGAAACAGGGACUUUCUGUGCAUCCAUAAUCAAUUGUCUGUUAUGAGAGCUUAAUUCAGCUUUCUGUUAAACACUCUUCCAUUAUUGAUAGUCUCAACCAUAAUGAGAUAGACACUAAAUAAAUGAAUAUAAAAUAUAUAUAUUUGCCCCAUACUUGUGAAAAAAACCUUUUUUUCCCCUUUGGGCUGCGGGUUGAACAUAGGGGUGCUUUACCACUGAGUUGUAUUCCCAGCCCUUUUUUGUUUUUUGAGAUAGGGUCUCUCUUUUUUUUUUUUUAAUUGGUUGUUCAAAACAUUACAAAGCUCUUGACAUAUCAUAUUUCAUACAUUAGAUUCAAGUGGGUUAUGAAUUCCCAUUUUUAUCCCAAAUACAGAUUGCAGAAUCACAUCGGUUACACAUCCACAUUUUUACAUAAUGCCAUAUUAGUGACUGUUGUAUUCUGCUACCUUUCCUAUCCUCAACUAUUCCCCCUCCCCUCCCCUCCCCUCUUCUCUCUCUAUCCCAUCUACUGUAAUUCAUUUCUCUCCUUGUUUAUUUUCCCAUUCCCCUCACAACCUCUUAUAUGUAAUUUUGUAUAACAGUGAGGGUCUCCUUCCAUUUCCAUGCAAUUUCCCUUCUCUCUCCCUUUCCCUCCCACCUCAUGUCUCUGUUUAAUGUUAAUCUUUUCCUCCUGCUCUUCCUCCCUGCUCUGUUCUUAGUUGCUCUCAUUAUAUCAAAGAAGACAUUUGGCAUUUGUUUUUUAGGGAUUGGCUAGCUUCACUUAGCAUAAUCUGCUCUAGUGCCAUCCAUUUCCCUGCAAAUUCCAUGAUUUUGUCAUUUUUUAGUGCUGCGUAAUACUCCAUGGUGUAUAAAUGCCACAUUUUUUUUAUCCAUUCAUCUAUUGAAGGGCAUCUGGGUUGGUUCCACAGUCUAGCUAUUGUGAAUUGUGCUGCUAUGAACAUCGAUGUAGCAGUGUCCCUGUAGCAUGCUCUUUUUAGGUCUUUAGGGAAUAGACCGAGAAGGGGAAUAGCUGGGUCAAAUGGUGGUUCCAUUCCCAGCUUUCCCAGGAAUCUCCAUACUGCUUUCCAAAUUGGCCGCACCAAUUUGCAGUCCCACCAGCAAUGUACAAGAGUACCCUUUUCCCCACAUCCUCNUCUACUGUAAUUCAUUUCUCUCCUUGUUUAUUUUCCCAUUCCCCUCACAACCUCUUAUAUGUAAUUUUGUAUAACAAUGAGGGUCUCCUUCCAUUUCCAUGCAAUUUCCCUUUUCUCUCCCUUUCCCUCCCACCUCAUGUCUCUGUUUAAUGUUAAUCUUUUCCUCCUGCUCUUCCUCCCUGCUCUGUUCUUAGUUGCUCUCAUUAUAUCAAAGAAGACAUUUGGCAUUUGUUUUUUAGGGAUUGGCUAGCUUCACUUAGCAUAAUCUGCUCUAGUGCCAACCAUUUCCCUGCAAAUUCCAUGAUUUUGUCCUUUUUUAGUGCUGCGUAAUACUCCAUGGUAUAUACAUGCCACAUUUUUUUUUAUCCAUUCAUCUAUUGAAGGGCAUCUGGGUUGGUUCCACAGUCUAGCAAUUGUGAAUUGUGCUGCUAUGAACAUCGAUGUGGCAGUAUCCCUGUAGCAUGCUCUUUUAAGGUCUUCAGGGAAUAGUCCGAGAAGGGCAAUAGCUGGGUCAAAUGGUGGUUCCAUUCCCAGCUUUCCCAGGAAUCUCCAUACUGCUUUCCAAAUUGGCUGCACCAAUUUGCAGUCCCACCAGCAAUGUACAAGAGUACCCUUUUCCCCACAUCCUCGCCAGCACUUGUUGUUUGACUUCAGAAUGGCUGCCAAUCUUACUGGAGUGAGAUGGUAUCUUAGGGUGGUUUUGAUUUGCAUUUCUCUGACUGCUAGAGAUGGUGAGCAUUUUUUCAUGUACUUGUUGAUUGAUUGUAUGUCCUCCUCUGAGAAGUGUCUGUUCAGGUCCUUGGCCCAUUUGUUGAUUGGGUUAUUUGUUAACUUAUUGUCUAAUUUUUUGAGUUCUUUGUAUACUCUGGAAAUUAGGGCUCUAUCUGAAGUGUGAGGAGUAAAAAUUUGUUCCCAUGAGAUAGGGUCUCACUAAGUUGCUUAGGGUCUCUCUAAGUUGCUGAGGCUGGCCUUGAACUUGCCAUUGUUGCUGCUUAAGUGUCAUGAUGUCCGGGGUCCUUUUUUUUGUUUUGUUCACUCCUAUUGAGGAUAAUAUCUGUGAAGAAGAAGCGCUCAAAUAUUUGCUGAAUGAAUGGUUAAGUGAACACUAUUUUUUCAGGUUUACCUUUUGUCCUUCACUAAGUGCUUUUUUUGGGGGGUGGUGGUGGUGGUGGUGCUUAACCACUGAGCAACAGCCUGUUUUGUAUUUUAUUUAGAGACAGGAUCUCACUGAGUUACUUAGGGCCUCACUAAGUUGCUGAGGCUGGCUUUGAACUCAUGAUUCUCCUGCCUCAGCCUCCCAAGUUGCUGCAAUUACAGGUGUGUUUACAGGUGGCUUCACUAAGUGCUUUUGUUGUCAAACUAUUCCUUUUAUUUCCUCAUUGCCUUUUGUGCCCUCAAGAAUAUAAGAGAGGGGCUGGGAUUGUGGCUCAGCUGUAGAGCACUCGCUUAGCAUGCGUGAGGCCCUGGGUUCCAUCCUCAGCACCACAUAAAAAUAAAUAAAUAAAAUAAAGAUAAAAAAAAAGUAAAAAAGAAAAAAGAAUAUAAGAGAGAGGGCUGGGAUUGUGGCUCAGUGGUAGAGCACUUACCUAGUACAUAUGAGGCACUGGGUUCAAUUCUCAAUACCAAAUUAAAAAAAAAAAAAGGGCUGGGGCCUGGGGAUGUGGCUUAAGUGGUGGCGUGCUCGCCUGGCGUGCAUGAGGCGCUGGCUUCGAUCCUCAGCACCACAUGGAAACGAAAAAUGGGGAUAUUGUGUCCACCUAAAACUGGAGGAUAAAUAUUAAANNNNNNNNNNNNNNNNNNNNNNNNNNNNNNNNNNNNNNNNNNNNNNNNNNNNNNNNNNNNNNNNNNNNNNNNNNNNNNNNNNNNNNNNNNNNNNNNNNNNNNNNNNNNNNNNNNNNNNNNNNNNNNNNNNNNNNNNNNNNNNNNNNNNNNNNNNNNNNNNNNNNNNNNNNNNNNNNNNNNNNNNNNNNNNNNNNNNNNNNNNNNNNNNNNNNNNNNNNNNNNNNNNNNNNNNNNNNNNNNNNNNNNNNNNNNNNNNNNNNNNNNNNNNNNNNNNNNNNNNNNNNNNNNNNNNNNNNNNNNNNNNNNNNNNNNNNNNNNNNNNNNNNNNNNNNNNNNNNNNNNNNNNNNNNNNNNNNNNNNNNNNNNNNNNNNNNNNNNNNNNNNNNNNNNNNNNNNNNNNNNNNNNNNNNNNNNNNNNNNNNNNNNNNNNNNNNNNNNNNNNNNNNNNNNNNNNNNNNNNNNNNNNNNNNNNNNNNNNNNNNNNNNNNNNNNNNNNNNNNNNNNNNNNNNNNNNNNNNNNNNNNNNNNNNNNNNNNNNNNNNNNNNNNNNNNNNNNNNNNNNNNNNNNNNNNNNNNNNNNNNNNNNNNNNNNNNNNNNNNNNNNNNNNNNNNNNNNNNNNNNNNNNNNNNNNNNNNNNNNNNNNNNNNNNNNNNNNNNNNNNNNNNNNNNNNNNNNNNNNNNNNNNNNNNNNNNNNNNNNNNNNNNNNNNNNNNNNNNNNNNNNNNNNNNNNNNNNNNNNNNNNNNNNNNNNNNNNNNNNNNNNNNNNNNNNNNNNNNNNNNNNNNNNNNNNNNNNNNNNNNNNNNNNNNNNNNNNNNNNNNNNNNNNNNNNNCCCCCCCCCCCCCCCCUUAAUUAUAAGGGUUAACCUCUGUCCCCAGUUACCAGGAGAUUUGAGAGUUGAGGUUUCAAUAUUAGUGUUAACCCUACUUAGUGAACAUGCAACUUGGCAUACCUAUGACAGCACUAAGUAAUCUGCAACACUGUAUCUUUUACAGUAUGACAGUUAACUUUGCUUUGGGUACUUUUAAUUUCUAAAUUUCCUGAUUUGCAUUUAAAUGAACUAUUCUGACACUUCAUUUACUUAACCUUGCUGUUAAAAAAAUUGGCAUUGAACAGCAUUGUAAGUAUGGACUAAAGCUUUGGAGUAGAUGGAUUUUAAGAAUGAUGUGGCCAUUCUGUUGUUAAUGAACUUGUAAUGUCUUUUGAGAAGGUAUGUAGCUCUUUUGCACAAAUGAGGCUGUUUGCCAACAAUCAGCUUUCUUGUUUCUGAUGGAACUAUGCCUUUACUUUCUCCUUGUUGUUUCUCCUCUCCCUUUCUAUUUUACAGAUUGCUAGCCAAAGGACUGCAUCUCUGCACCUUUCUGAAUUUAUAGUGAAUGUAUAUUUUACUUUAUAGCCAGAAUUGCUAUUUUUAAGGUAAUGAAGACUGAAUAACUACAAUUUAACUUUUUAUUUAGUUUCACUAAGCAUAAUCUCUCAUGGAAAAACUUAAAGUUGCUGUCAUUAAUUAAGGUUGGCUAGCUCUUGUAGGUUUUGUAAUAGAUCUUGCAAAGGAGUACUCUGUAAGUUAAUUGGAAAACUAGAAACUGCCAGAGUUUUAAAAAUUAUUUGCUCAGCUACUCUAAACAAUGCCAUUAAUUGUGGAAAACCAGAAGAUAUGACAAAGAUUAAAGCAGGAACUAUUUCUUGGUAGGCUUGUAAAUAUUUUCACUUCUGGUUGCGUAAAUUCAGUUCAGCUAAAAACUGCUUUACGUCAAGUACCUUGCCAGCAAUUUAAGGAAUAUGAAGAAAUAUAUGCAUAGUUAUUAUCCUUAAACUUAAAAUAUAGAUAGAAAGACUACAUGCUAAGCCUGAGAAAAUUAAUUUGGUUUAAUAAAACAAUUCGAAAGCUAUUAAGAUAUGAAAUGUCAGUGCUAGAAGGCAUAUACAGUUCAUCCUCUUAUAGAUGAGAAAACUAACAUCCAGAAAGGUGAAAUGGCUUCCCCAAGUAAGUGUCAAAACUGGUACCAAUAAGCUUGUGUUGUUGUAGAACACAUUCUCUUUAUAUUUAAGCUCUCUGCUUUUGUUUUUGGAAAUCCUUUAAGGAUUGGGGUCAUCAAAAGCGUAACUUGGCUCUGUUGUAUAGUUUAAAAAUGUUUAGUGUCAUUCUUGGCAGGGCUUUUGAUUAAAGAUGCAGUCUACUUCUAUCAUGGUUAUUGAAAGUCUUGAAAACACACUGAAUGAGUUUUUAAUUUUUAAGUGUCAGUAUAUUUCAGGUUUCUCAAUGUGAGAGAUGGAAUACUUUGUUCCAGUCCCUUUAGUAGGGGCUUGGUGAAUUUUUAUGGAGGAAGAGGAAGACCUUCUCAGAGACAUUAGUUAAGAGGAUGUGGAGUUCUGAACUAGAAGUGACUUUGGGGGAGAAUCUUAUUCAGAGAUCGCAGAGUGGUGACCAACAGGGCAAUCAUAGUACCCAAACAUGUUUGUCACAGUGGUAAAAUUUUGGCAGCCAGGUGCAGUGGUGCACGCCUGUAAUUCCAGCAGCUGGGGAGGCCAAGGCAGGAGGAUCUCGAGGUCAAAGCCAGCCUCAGCAAAAGUGAGGUGCUAAGCAACUCAUUGAGACCUUGUCUCUAAAUAAAAUACAGAAUAGGGUUGGGGAUGUGACUUAAUGGUUGAGUGCUCCUGAAUUCAAUCCACAUUACUAAAAAAAAAAAAUUUUUUUUUGGUGUGUGGGGGGGAAUUGUUGCUGACAUGAAUAUUAGGAGAUUUCAUGUAAAUAUCUACAUUUCUGGCUUCUCAGAAAACCAGAUGAUCUGGUAAUCCUGGAUCUUCCAGAUAACAAAAUUGCUUAGAGUGGAUGGGCAACAAGGCACAGACUUACUGAUUUGGCAGGCUUGGCCUCUCUCAGUGUCACCCAUUCCCCUCAAAAUACACUCAACUGGAGAGGCCAGGUGUCAUUUGCAGUUUAUUAUUGUGUCUAUAUUCUGCAUGCCCCCUGCCCCCAUAUAUAUAUAUAUAUAUAUAUAUAUAUAUAUGCAUGCAUUGUAGUUCUACAUAAUAGUGAGAUUCGUUGUUAUAUAUUCAUGCAUGUACACAAUAUGACAAUAUAAUUUGGCUACUAUCACUCACCAGUGCUUCUCCCCUCUCUCACCUCUUCCCACCCCCUGGUCCCUUUCGUCCUCUAUUCUACUGAUCUCCCUUUGAUUUUUCAUGAGAUCAGUUCCCCACUUUUUAAGUUAAGAAGUCAAUGGGGCUGGGGGUAUAUCUCAGUAGUAGAACAUGUGCCUGUCAUGUGCAAGGUCUUGGGUUCAAUCCCAAGCACACCUCUACCCCUAAUAUUUUGUAUCCUAAAGUAUCAAAACUAGGAGAACAGAAGACCCAGAAGUCUUUUAUUUCAGAAAAAAUAGGAGAGUGUAUUUCUUUGGGAAAGUGAAUUGUGGUAUGUUGUUCUUGCUUAAUUAAAUUCAAAUGUAACCUAAAUGUUCACUUGGAGCUAGCUUUACUUAUUGCUACCUCUUGGCUCCCUCCUUCUACAAUCCUGAAAUGUUCACUCUCUUAUUUGUGUUGAAGUAGUAUCUGAUAUGCUUAGAAAUGCAGGAUCCAUGAAGCAAAUAAUUUCUUCUGAAAUGUCUUAUCUGUGACAUUUGAUGACAUUUAUUGAGCUGCCUGUAUCCCUUUAGCAAUCUAGAGCAUUCCAUUUCCUAAGGUUUACUGACAUGGGUUGAUCAGUUUAGUGGACAAAUAACCUUUAAAGAACAAAGUAUAGGCCUGACAUAAUAUGAGUACAGAGGACAAAUUUGCCCACAUCAGUGAAAUAAAUUCUCUGGAAACUGACAUUUUGUGUUACGAGAUUAGACAAACACAUCUAGAUUGGCACUUCCAUUUCUGUGGUUCUAUGAUUCGGAUUCCUUUUUUCCUUCCCGUUCUCUCCCACCCUGCCUUCCUGUUUUCUCCCAGUACUGGUGAAAGGAAAGUGAGGAACCUGGAGAUGGGUGAGCCAGAAAUGAAAGACAGAGACCAGGCAGAGAUACACAUGAGAGUUUAUUUGUCAGAGCUGACAAAUAAAGACCAUCUUUCCAUAGAUGGAGAGAGGCAAUACAGGCUUGGGUUCCAUGACUUUUGGGGGCAGGCUCUGGGAUAAGAGCUGGGCGGGUCCUAAAGCAAGCGAUUAAGGGUGGGGUUGGUAUGAGGGAGUAGUGAGCCUUUCUCAGAAAGGGCCUUGGGUGGGGAAAUCGGUAAAUUUUUCUUAAAAUGGUGGCUUAAGUGCCAUCCAGAUGUUAAGCAAGGACCUUACAACUGGGAAUCCAACUCAGGGCCUUGCAGAUACUAGGCAAGUAAUCUACCAUUAAGCUACAUCUCCAGCUUUCCCCACUCUCCCCUCUUUUUUUUUUUUCCUCUUUUUAAAAUUUUGAGACAGCAAUUUUUCAAAUUGCUGAGGCUGGCCUUAGAUUUGCAGUCCUGUCUCAGUUUUUCAAGUCCUGGGAUUACAGGUGUGUACUACCAUGCACUGUUUCAGAUUAUUUGGAAAUCACUUUUCUAUAUUCAGUAGUUUGAAUUUUGAAUAUUUUCCGUAAACUUCUGCAAUGUCUCCCCUGUUUUAUAAAUUAGAAAAUUUGGAUAUACAAAGAAGUAAAAGAAAAAUUCUAUGAACAUACACCCAAAUGUCUUUUACCUAGAUUCAGCAGGUAUAGCUAUAUAUGAUCCAUCCCUUCCUUCCUUCCUUUUUUUUUUUUUUUUUUUGAGAUGGGGUCUUGCUAUGUUGCCCAGACCAAACUUGAACGCUUCUGGCUCAAGAGAUUCUCCCAGCUUAACCUCACAGUGUAGUAUGUGCCUGUAGACCUCAAGUACAUGGGGUCUACAGGCACAUACUACACUGUGCUUGGCCUUAUAUUUCUUCAUCUGUAUUUAAGUAUUCAUUUUUACUUUUAUUGAAUAAUAUUGCAGACAUUUUGAAAUUUCACUUAUAAAUAUUUCAGAAUGCAUUUCUUAAAAAUAGUCAUUUUUCUGUUUAGCCAGAAUUCCAUUAUUAUGCCUAGAAAUCUUAUAAUUCUAUAAUAUAAAAUAUCUAAUAAAACUUAGAUUUACCAGUUCCUACAAAUAUUAUAGAGUUGUUUCAAUUCAGGGUUUAAUCAAGGUUUAUGUAUUGCUUUAGAUUCAUUUAUCUCUUGAGUCUAGUAGUCUAGAAUAGGCUUUUCACUGUAAGGUCAUCUGGACAGCCAUCUUAAGUGAUAGCUGCCAUUUUAAGAAAAAUUUUGCUUUCCUGCACAAGGACCUCACUGAGAAAGUCUCAUCACUCCCUCAUAAUCCAACAUUUCACCACCUGCAUUCCCAGCAUUCUUUCCCGCCCAAGGGCACUACACAACUCCCUCAUACCAACCCUACCCUUAACCGCUUGUGUUAGGACCAACCCAGCUCUAAUCCUUGAGCCUCCCCCAUAAAAGUCUCAAACCCCAAGCCUGUGUUGCCUCUCUCCAUCUAUGGAGAGAUGGCCUUUGUCAACUCUAACAAAUAAACUCUCAUGUAUAUAUCUACCUGAUCUCGGCCUUUCAUUUCUUGCUCGCCUAUCUCCUGGCUUUCCCUUCACUUAUCCCUUCCCUUAUGUUGACAUUUUGAAGGUGUAUGAUUCGUGUGAAAUGCACUCUUUUAGAUUUGUCGACUUUCUCGUGGUGUUGCUUAACAUGCUUCUGUAUCCCCUGUACUUCCUAUAAACUUAAAAUUCAUAUUAAGCUUUCUUAAUCUAGAGUUGAUCAAUUUUUUCAAUUGGGACUAAAAAAAAUUUGUUUUUGUUUUCAGUUUCUUCUAACAGGAAUUUAGCAUUUCCUUCUAUUUUAUUUUUUUAAUUUGUUAUAAUUGACCUUCCACUAUUAACGUAGGCAACAAACUAGAGUUUUCAGCUGUACCAAUAAUUUUGUCAGGAAUAUCAGUGCUUUUCAUAUUUGCAAUAACAGUAAGACAAUAUCUUGAAAACAAUGGGUUCUGCUCGAAUUCAGGACCCCCAAAAGACCAUCAGAGACCAAGAUCAAUGUAAGCAGCAAAGAGGUGUUUAUUGCGAGCUAGCUCUGUCCUCCACACGCCCCCUGAGCCCAGGGUUUGCAGCAGUUUUAUAUACUCUUUGGGAAAGGCAGGGACUUAACAUACAUCAUAGCAUCUCUUAGCAAAUCAUCACACACCGCGGGAAAAUCAUAAAACAACUCUAAAACAUGGUUAGCACACAUUCACUGGUGGGAACAAGUUGGGUAAGGGUGAUUGGUUAGUACAAGAGGGAUAGUCAUUUGAACUGAUUGGUUUAAACCACGAGGGGUGUCGUGCUGAACUACAUGGUUUCCCAACAUGUUAUCAACCACCAUAAACUACUGGGAGGGCCACCUGGCAUCCCAGGUAUUUUCCCUGUCUCAUGCUGAUUGGUGGUUGUUAGGGGGUUGCUGUGGGUCCUCACCUGGCCUGACUGAGUCUGGGACAACCGGCUCCUCAGAUCUCUCCUGUUAUUUGUAGAUAAACAACUCAUCAGGGUGGGUAUGUGCCUGGGAGUGCUCUGUGGGUUCUUUCCAAGGACAAGGGUCACGCCCCCUUCCUUGGACAGGCUUUGCUCUGAGGUAGAGGCUAGUUUCUCAAAUGUUCAUUUUCUUUAUACUUCAUAGUAGUUAUCAGAUACCUCUUGUCAGAUCCUCGUCAAAUCUUGUUUAAUGUGUUAAUAUAGAAACACAUAUAUUACUGUAUCACACAUUGUUUGUAAAACAGUUUUUAAGUACAUUUCAAUAUGUUUUCUACCUAUCUACCUACCUUCCUUCCUCCCGAUCUUUUUUUUUUUAAACUGGGAAUUGAACCAAGAGUACUUAACUACUGAAUGGUAUCCUUAGCCCUUUUUAUUUUUUAUUUUGAGAUGCUUUUGCCAAGUUGCUUAGGGCCUUGCUAAGUUGCAGAGGCUGGCUUCAAACUUGAAAUCUUCCUUCUUCAGCCUCCCAAGUUGCUUCACCUAGCUUAAUAUGUUUUCCUUUGUAACCUUUUCAGUUAUAUUACUUGAAUUUGAAAGAGUCUGAAAAAGGGUCUGUAUUGCACUGUCUAGUAGUAGUCAAGUAGCAAGGGCGACUGAAUACUUGAAUUGUGGCAUGUCUGAGUUGAGAUUUGCUCUAAGUAUAAAAUAGAUACCAUAUUUUGAAUAUUUACAGCUUAGGUAAAGUAUCUCUAAUUUGAAAAUAUUAAUUAUAUCUUAGAAUGAUAACAUUAUAUAUGUUAGGCUAGAUAUAUAUUAAAAUGUAUUUCAUCCAGUUUUUAAAAAAUCUUUUUAAAUGUGGCUACUGGAAAAUUUAAGUUGAUUUGAUUUAUGGUAUUGGGGGGGUUGAAUGUGUGUGGGGGGUACUCUCCCACUAAGCUAUAUCUCUAGCCCUUUAAACUUCAUUUUUUAAAAGACCUAGUUGCUUAGGCUGGCCUUGAAUUUGUGAUCUUCCUGCCUCGGCCUUCCAGGUUGCAGGGAUUAUAGGUGUGCGUGCACCUCAAUACCCAGCUGCUUUUUUUCUUUUGAGGAUCCAUAACCUGUGAUCCUAAGGGUAUUUAUGUACUUGGUUAUGUAAUGCCAGAUUCGUGGGACCCCAGUAGACCUCCAGGAGCCGAAUCCGAUGCAAUCACACAAGAGUUUUUAUUGCAAGCUCGAGCCUGGACUCAUAGUCGUUCCCGAUGCAGUGGUCCCAGGGAGUGAGUCCUGGUCCUUUGUCCAGUGAGAUUUUAUAGGUUUUGGGGGGAUACUCUAUGCGUCACAACAUCACACAGCAAAUCAUUCCAUACCGCGGGAAAAUCAAACAACAAAUCUUAACCUUGUUUAGCUCAUUCACUGGCAGGAACAAGUUGGGUAGGGGUGAUUGGUUAGUACAAGAGGGGAUUCCUUUGAAUUGAUUGGUUUAGGCCACAAGGGGUAUACAUGCUAAACUACAUGGUUUCCCAACAUGUUAUUAACCACCAUAAACUACUAGGGGUCAUCUGGCAUUCCAGGUAUUUUCUUUGUCUCAAGCUUAUUGGUGGUUGCUAGGGGGUUACUAUGGGUCCUCACCUAGCCUGAGUCAGGGACACCUGGCGCCACAGAUCUCUCCUGUUAUUUGCAGACAAACAAUUCAGCAGGGUGAGUAUGUACUUAGGAGUGCUCUGUAGGUUUUUCCCAGGACAAGGGUCACGUCCCCUUCCUUAGGACAGGCCUUGAGGUAGAAGCUGGUGUUAUUUAUUUAUUUUCAAAAAUGGAGUCACAUCAGUUUCUCAGUUAUAAGUAGUUGCACUCAUUAUUCUUGUUCUUUUUAAUUUUUUGAUAUCUUCCCCAGUCUGGUCUUAAACUCCUGGGCUCAAGCAAUCUUUAGCCUCCCAAGUAGUUGGGACUGUGGGCACAUGCAGCUGUGCUAGGCUCAUUGUUGUUGUUGUUGUUGUUUUUGUUGUUCUUUUCAUUGAACAUUCCCCCCCACAGUCUUAAAAGCUCUAAUGGAAAUUUCUACUGAAACUGAUCUAGUGACAUAUGAUUGAGUGCAUCUUAACCUUCUUCUGGUUUUCAGUGAUACUAGUUGUAGGUGCACAAGGCACCAGACUUAGGUAUUAUGUUUUAAUAGAACAAGACAGGGGGCUGGGGAUGUGGCUCAAGCGCUCGCCUGGCAUGCGUGUGGCCUGGGUUCGAUCCUCAGCACCACAUACAAACAAAGAUGUUGUGUCUGCCGAAAACUUAAAAAAAAAAAAAAGAACAAGACAAAAUGUUUUCUAGGAAUUUAUAAAAAAAUGAAUUGAGGUAUACCUAUUUAACUAAUAUUGCAGUAUAACUGUUGUGGAGUAAGAAAAAUUAGAAUCUUUUUUAAAAAUUUUUUUUUAUUUUUCAAUUUUCAGUGGACACAACAUCUUUAUUUUUAUGUGGUGCUGAGGAUCGAACCCAGUGCCCCACGCAUGCCAGGUGAGUGUGUUACUGCUUGAGCCACAUCCCCAGCCCCGAAUCUUUUGUAUUAGUUUUUUUUUUUAAAAGAAGAAUUUUUUUGUGUGUGUUAGAGAUCGACUUGGCCCUUGUGUUGUGCAGUUAGGCAAGCUUUUUACCACUGAACUACAUUCCCAGCCCAAGGAAAAUUAAAAAAAAAAAAAAAAAAAGCUGUUAUUCAUGUUAGCUUUUCAUCUUGCUUCUAAAGGUAGGGUGGAAAACUGGAAAUAGAAAUGUCUAGGUAACAGAGCAGCCCAAAGGGAAAAGUUCUAUGUGUUUGAGAGUACUUGUUUGUACCCUUAAUGUUUGUAAACUCGAAAUUGUUAAGAGGUUGUAAAAGUUACUGGGUCUCAUGUGCAUGCUAGUUAUAAUUAUUUUACCUUGUAUAUAUAUAGCUUUUCUUAUAUAAAAGUCUUUAAGUUGGAGAAUAUUUGCUAUAUGUAUAUUUCACGAUUGUUUUUUGAUAUUUGCCUGACUUUGGCCUUUGAUUUCUUUCUUAGAAAUGACUGCUGUUCACACAGGCAACAUAAACUUCAAAUGGGACCCCAAAAGUCUAGAGAUCAGGACUUUGGCAGUUGAAAGACUAUUGGAGCCUCUUGUUACACAGGUAAGAAUCUGAAAACACAAAUACAUAGUUGUAGCAUGGUUCUAUAGCAGUAGGCUUGAGUAGACCAAGGUUAUUUCUUUCAAAGUCUUAAUAUGAUUGGUUGAAUUUAGUGUGAUAGUUUUUAUAUGAUUUGGCUCAUCUAAUAAUUGAAUAUUGAUACAGAGAUUUAUUUAAUUCGUUGGAACACAUUGCUACAAUUUUCUUGAGUCAUAUUGCCAAUAGUGGAGGCUGUUGGUAUAUAGAGCAGAUUUUUAGAUAUUGGCACUUUGAGAGAACUUCACCCUUCCUUAAAGGGGAAACUCAAGGAAGUUGUGAUAUGGAUCCUUGUUAAGGUUCCUUACUCAGCUUAAUGCCCUUUGUUUUCUUUUUUUUAAAAAAAAAUUUUUUUUAGUUGUAGAUGGACACAAUACCUUUAUUUUAUCCAUCUAUCUAUCUAUCUAUCUAUCUAUCUAUCUAUCUAUCUUUAUGUGAUGCUGAGGAUCGAACUCAGUGCCUCACACAUGCCAGACGAGUGUACUACCACUGAGCCAUAACCCUAACCCCCAGCUUAAUGCCCUUUCAUUGUGUAGGAUUAAUUAGCAGGUAAUUGAAUUUGAGGGCAUAGUUUUGGGUAUUCUGUUACAAAUACAUGUAUCAUAAUGUGAUGGCAUUUAUCAAUUGUCAGUAAUUAGCUAUGCGCUUUUAGUAUUUUGGUAUAGUUUACAUGUAUGUGUGAGAGAAUAUGAGAUAUAUCAAGUAAGUAGCAUUUGACAAUCUUUUAAAAAAAAUUCUAUUCCAACUUACAGAUGUAAACUAGUAUUUUAUAUAUCUCUAUAUAGGAGUGUAUGGUAAGAGUGGAAUAUUUACUCUCUGGACCCCGUGUACUAUAGCCGUCUUUUGUUUGGCAGAUUUACACUAUAACAAAUCAUUAAUCAUUUCAUCCUACGGAUCAUAAGGUAUUAUACAUAUUAAUACUGAUUAGUAUUCUGGGACUUAAAGCAUCAUCACAGUAGGCUUCUAUGGGUAGUCACUCUUCUUUUUAAUGACCUUUACUAAUUAAUUGCUAAGAUUUGUGAGAAUAAACUGAACAAAGACUUCAGAAGCAAAUUAUCUUAAAAAUGUUUUGUAAACAUUGAUAACAAUGACAAAAUGUGGCUUUCUGGUGAAAUUCAUUGUCAACUUAUUUAUUUAUUUAUUUGUGAUGCUGGGGAUUGAACCCAGGGUCUUGUGCAUGUUAGGCAAGCAAUCUUCGAAAUGAGCUAUAUUCCCAGCCCUCAUAUUGUUAAUCUUUCUAGAACUUCAUGGUGACAUAGAAGAGAGAUAUCUUAACUUAUUUCUUCUUUCUUUUUUUUUUUUGUUUUGCUUACAAACAAAACUUUUUUGAAAAAACACCAAAAUUGGAGAUCAAACAUAAUUACAUUAUCUUGGUAGGGUAACUAGAAAUACUGAACUUAUAAGGCUUUUGUGAGAAAACACAAAUUCAGGAAGUUGUACGUCAUUAACAGUUUCUUCUUCUAAAUGAACAACCUUCUGUGAGUUUGGCCUUUCCUCUUAUAGGCUGGUACAACAGUGUCAAACAACCUACACAAAGAACCGCUGAGCAUGGCUGAGAACUGUGGAAAUCUUGUUGCAACCUGAACAUUUUACAUACAUAAAAUAAGAAUUUGGACUUUGAACUAGUCAUUUCUUAUGUUUUUUUAUUUUCCAAGGAAGGAUUAAACAGAUCUCUAGCCAAUCAGCAGAGACAAUGAUUCAGAAGUUAAAGUUAUUUUUAAAUAAUACCAUUUUCAUCAAUAUUCCGUGUUCCCAAGUUCCUAAUUUGUAAAGUCAAAAUAUUUUUUAUUGCUGGGUAUGGUGGUGUAAGCCUCUGUUUCUAGCGACUUGGGAGGCUAAGGUUCCUUACUCAGCCUUUAAAGCCAGCCUCAGCAACUUAGUGAAGCACUUAGUAACUCAACUGUCUCUAAAUAAAACAAAAAAGGGCUGCUGGGGAUGUGGCUCAGUGGUUAAGCGCCUCUGGGUUCAAUCACUGGUACCUCUACACACACGUUUAUAUUUAUAUUUGUAUAUUAUCUUACACAUUAAGGAAGCUAAGUUAUUUUGAAACCUAAGUUUAGUAUCAUUGCUUUAUAUCUUAAAUAUGGUAAGAGUUGUUAUUUAAUGCUUACUGCAAUGUUUCCUUAUGAAUAAUUUACUGAUGCUAUCUUUUAGGUUGUUAGUCUUUCUUUUGUUUUCAUUUUAGAUGACUGCGAUUUAAUUAAUUUUUAAAAUGAAACCUUUAGGUUACAACCCUGGUAAACACCAACAGUAAGGGACCCUCUAAUAAAAAGAGAGGUCGUUCUAAGAAGGCCCACGUUUUGGCUGCAUCUGUUGAACAAGCAACUGAGAAUUUCUUGGAGAAGGGGGAUAAAAUUGCAAAGGAGAGUCAGUUUCUCAAGGAGGAGCUUGUGGCUGCUGUAGAAGAUGUUCGAAAGCAAGGUAGGUCAAUAUUUUUUUUUUAUAUAGAGGCAAGCCUUUAUAGAAAAUUGGUCGUACUCCCCCCCGCCCCCCGAAUGCAAUCCAGGACCUUGUAUAUGCUAGGUAAUAACCCUGCCACUGGGUUACAUCCCCAGGUUCUGCAAAAGCCAUCUUUGGAGGAAAUUUUGUGUGGUCAGUAGUCAGUGCUUGCUACUUAAUUAUUCAGUAACUUAUAAUAUUUAUUUGAGUUGUCUAAUUAAUUGUACAGGUGCAUAUUUUAAUCAGAAGAUAUGCUUACAUUAAAAUGUCUUUUUGGAGAGUCUGAAUCUACUUCUCUUGGGUGUUUCAAGAAUUAGUUAAGUCACAGAAAUGUUAUUGCACAAUUCUAAAGGGUAUAAAAGUGACAGAAGUUUUAUCUUUCUUCUUGUGAUACCUCUUCUUAAUUCAUAGUAAUGAUAUUGGAUAAUGUGAAACAUUUAGCUUGAUAAUAUUCAUUACUCUAAAAAUACCCUAGAAAUUUGUCCUGUACUUUCACACUAGUAUGUUAAAUCAUCUAUGCAUAUUUGUACUGGUUUGUGUUUGACAUAAAUAUAUCUGGGCAUAAAGAAAAAUAAAAUUAUGGCAUUUGCUGGCAAAUGGAUGGAACUGGAAACUAUCAUGCUAAGUGAAAUAGUCCAAUUCCAAAAAACCAAAGCUAAAUGUUCUCUCUGAUAUACAGAGGGAAGAAUAUAAAUUCAUUGGAUUAGACAAAGGGUUAGGGAGAUGGCAUAGGAAAGACAGAAGAAUGAAUCGGACGUAACUUUCCUAUGUUCAUAUUGAAUACAUGACCAGUAUAACUCCACAUCAUGUACAACCACAAGAAUGGGAAGUUAUAUCCCAUGUAUGUAUGUCAGAAUACAUUCUACUGUCAUGUACAACUAAAAAGAACAAAUAAAAAAAUUAUAUUAACUCAUUUAAAAAAAUAUCUUGGCUUACAUGAAUCAUGUUUUUGUCAACUCAAAAUUGAAUAGGUAAAAUGGUAAGUUAAUCCACACCUUACCAGUAAUUAUUAUUAGAAAAAUUAUCAUUGUUACACUGUAAAUUUGAAAAGAAGACUUUAAAUCUGGAAGAUAAUUUUUUUUUUUUUUUUUGGGUGCAGUACAGAGGGUUGGACAUAGGACCUUGCACAUGCUAAGCAAGGGCUCUGCCAUUAGCCACAUCCCCAGUCCUUUUUAUUUUACUUUGAGACUGGGUCUCAGUAAAUUGUCUUGACUGCCCUUGAACUUUCUAUCCUACUUUUAGUUUUCAUAGUAGCAAGGAUAAUAAGCAUAUACCACUAUGCCCUACUGAGGGUAAACUUAUUGAAAUCUGUAGUUCUGUGUUAGACCUGUGUUCUAGUAGGAGCAAUUCAACAAAGAUGUAAGUUUUGUAGGCCAUUGGAUAUCAGCUAAGGUGAAUUGAGCCUCUAAUAUGGACAGUGCUUUACUGGCCUUUAGGAGGACUUCACUUCUGGUACCCUAAAUAGCAAAGUACAUAGGCCACUGGAGUCUAAGUCAAAUUCAUCCUUGUGACAGUACCCAAAAGGAGGAGUAUCUUUGAUAGAGAUGACAUUUCCAGUUGUUCUGAAUUUGUGAACUAAAAACCUUAUUUGGGGGCUGGGGUUGUGGCUCAGUGGUAGAGCACUCGCCAUGCAUGUGUGAAGCCUUGGAUUUCAUACCCAGCACCACAUAAAAAUAAAUAAAUUAAAUAAAGGUAUCAUGUCUAUCUAGAACUAAAAUCUAUCUAUCUAUCUAUCUAUCUAUGUAUCUAUCUAUCUUAUUUGGUGAAUAUUUCAGUUUCAGGCUGAAGAUAAAUAUCUCUAAUACUAAAAAUAAUGAAAUUAUUAAAAUUUUUAAUAUGAGUGGGGUGGCUAUAUUAGUUUCCUAGGCCUGCCAGAAUAUAAAUUAUUAUAAAUUUGAUGGCUUAUAACAAUAGAAACUUAUUCUUCCGUAAUUCUAGAGGUAAAAAAUAUGAAAUUAGGGACUGGGGUUGUGGCUCAGAGGUAGAGCACUCGCCUUGUGCGUGUGAGAUCUGGGUUCCAUCCUCAGCACCACCUAAAAAUAAAUAAAUAAAUGUAUUGUGUCCAACUACAGCUAAAAAAUAAAUAUUUUUUUAAAAAGAGGGUGGCUGGGGUUGUGGCUCAACGGUAGAGCACUAGCCUAGUAUGUGUGAGGCCCUGGGUUCGAUCCUCAGCACCACAUAAAAAUAAAUAAAUAAAGGUAUUGUGUCCAACUAUAAAAGUAAAAUAUUAAAAAAAAAUAUGAGGGCUGGGAAUAUAGCUCAGUUGGUAGAGUGCUUGCCUUGCAUGCACAAGGCCCUAGGUUCAAUUCCCAACACUGACCCCCCCCCCCAAAAAAAAAUAUAUAUAUAUCUAUAUAUAUGAAAUUGUAGUUUUGGCAGGCUUGGUUCCUUCUUGGGGUUCAGGAAGAAUCUACUCCAUGCCUUUCUCCUGGCUUCUUUUAUAUUUUUGCAGAUUGGGAAUUGAACCCAGGGGCACUUUACCACUGUGCUACAUUUCUAGUCCUUUUUAUUUUUUUAGAUAGGGUCUUGUGAUCUUGAACUUGGUGAUUCUUCUCUCUAAACCUCCAAUCACUGGGAUUUCAGGCAUGUGCCUCCACACUGUGCUGUUCUUGCUUCUUGGGUUACUAGGAGUUGGAGAAAAGGCACUCCAAUCUCUGUUUUUUGUCACAUACCAUACUGUUUUUCUUGUGUAUCUCUGUGUCCAUAUUUCCCUUUCCUUCUAAGAGCAUCAUCAGUCAUUGAGUUAGGGCUUUCAUCCUAAUCUAGUGUGACCUCAUCUUAACUUGAUAACCAUCUGCAAAAACUCUAAUUUAAAGUUCACAUUCUAAAUAAGUUCACAUUCUAAAUAAGUUCACAUUUACAGGUUCUGGGUGGAUAUGAAUUUCUAGCCUAGUACAAGGAUUCGAAUUUGUUUUAAAGCAGUGCUUUUUAUCUUCCCUUUUGUAUUCUAGGCAAGUAUCCGGUCUGUAUCCCCAGCCCCUUAGCAGUUUAAUGUCCAGUUUAGGAACAUUUUGAGCUUUCUGCAGAGGAAAUUAAAAUGACUCUUACUUCAUUUUCCUCUAUGGAAAAGUUCUGUUCCCCAGCCCUUCUUAUAGCCUGUAGUGAAAUUCCACAGUUGUAACAGAUGUGUUUGGCCAAGUCUUCAUUGUGUCUACUGACCAAAACAUUUUAAAAAUAUAUUUAAUUGUUGCAGGUAAUAAUAUACAUAUAUUUCUUGUUUUAGAAGUAUCUCUGAUGCAAAUCAUGGUAUAAUCCACACAUUCUCCCUCAAACUGCCCCGCCCCCCUUUUGAAUGCAGAUCUGAAUUUCUCUUUGCUUGUUAUUUUUGUUUAUAUCUGUGAAAAUCUUGUAUGUGAUUCUGAAUCAUAAAGACUUGUUUUCCUGGUCCAACUUUUCAGUUACUUAUGAUCAUGGUCCUAUUCAUCAUAAUUUGUCUUUCUGCCAGGGGUUGGGGGUAGGGUAGAGAAAUACAACCAAACUAUAAUUGUCUCCCAUCAUCAUUGCAUCAGAUAGAAAAAGCUGAAGUGCUUUGCUUUUUUUGUUGGCUAAGUUUUUUCUUUGGAGAAUAUUAACAAUUGGUGAUAAACCCUGUUUUCUGUCAUUAGUAAAACAAAAUAUAUAUUAUGAAAAUGAUUAAGCACAGAUUUAAAAAAAAUCAGAUAAGACUCUGUUUUGUUGCUGAAGCUGUUUAUUCAUGUUUGGAACCCUGAAGUAGUGUUGCUAUCUAGAUUUUUUGAUGGCCUCCCUUAAAAAAGUGGAGCCUAACCUCAAACCUCAGCAGUGUUGCUUGGACUUAGUAACUCAGUUCUGUAAUGGAAUGUGGAGGAAGUGAUGUGAUCUACUUUGGAGGCAAAGUUAUAAAAAGGGAUCAUAUUUACCUGACUUUUUCUCAUGGAAUAUUCACUCUGGGGAAGGCUGGCUGCUAUGCCAGAAAACACUUAUGAGGUCCUGUAGAGAGGAGCUGAAGUAUCUGUCAGCAGUCAGCACAACUUUGUCAGUCAUGUGAGUUAACUCCCUUAGAAGUAGAUCCUCCAACUCUAAUCAAGUUUCAAAUGACAUUAACCAACCAACUUUAAAUCCCUGGCCCACAGAGAAACCCAGGAGAUAAUAAAUGUUUUAAGCUAUCAGCUUUUAUAAUAAUCGUUAGGCAGCAAACGAGAAUUAUUAUAAACACCUUUGCUGGCUUGACUUCAGUGGUUUUGAGCAUUAAUGCAAAAGCUUGACCUAACUGUAGUCAUUUUUACUAGUAUAUAAAAUAAAUGCUUAUCUAUGGAAAGUCCUAGUUGCUAAAGGAAGUGUAAGAAAAUUGUCAUUUACCAGCAAUUACUUUUGUUUAGAAUAAUGUUUGGCAAAUUUUUUUUGGUUAAGGGCCAGGGAGUCAAAUCUGUUGAAACUAUUGUUACUUCUGUCUUGGGAAAGCAGCUACGGACAAUAUAUAACAGAUGGGCAUGGUCUUGUUUUAAUAAAACAAAACUUAUUUAUAAAUACAGGAGGUGGGCUAGAGUUUUGGAGGGUGGGGGUACUGGGAAUUUAACCCAGAGGUGCUUUACCACAGAGCUACAUCCCUAAGCCUUUUGAUUUUUUUUUUUUUUUUUUUGAGACAGGCUCUCAAUAAGUUGCUGAGACUGGUCUUGAAUUUGCUAUUCUCCUGCCUCAGACUGCUGAGCUGCUAGGAUUACAGCAGUGUGCCACCAUGCCCAGCAGCGAGUUGGGCCAGAUUUGAUUUAUAGGCUGUAGUUUGCCUAACCCCUAACCUAGGUGUUUUUUUUUUUUUGAGACUAAUAAAAUUAUAAGGUUACUAUUUUAAAAGUAGUAUUUGUUCAUAAUUUAUUUAUAACACUUAUGAGCCAAAAAAUUAAGCCUUGUAUGUCUUUGGGUUUGUACACAUUCUAUGCAGUCAUAAUGAACAUCUAGAAACUUGAUUUUUACAUGGCUAACGUAAGACUAGAAAAACGCCGCACCACACGACACAGAUUACCAAAGAGGUUUCCGCUUUAUUACAAAAGGCUGUGUGUUUAUAUAGGUCUAAGAGAGGUAGCAGGGGCUGAGGUAGAUAACAGGUCGCCCGUUUAUUGGCAAGCUCUUCCAUAUGUCAGUUCCGGAGCCCAAGAAGUUAAUUCUAAUUGGGGCUAAGGCUUCCCACCAGCAGGAUUUGAACAUUGGCACCGGCGGGAACGUUUCACGCCAGUGAAAGAAACAAAGAAGAGAAGGAGGGUCGUUAGACGCCAUGCUGGGGUUUUUCUCUGGGGUGCGGCUGCCUUAUGUUUUCCCAACAUUCCUCCCUUUUUUGUUUUCUUAGAAAGUGGGGCGUCGUUGGUCAGAUCCGGCUGCUUCCUGCUGUGUUGGGGCGGCGUGGGCCUAGAAAGGGAAGUGGAGGAAUGUUCGGGGGCGGGGGGGGGGGCGCAGGNGGGGGGCAGGUCUGGGGAUAUCAUGGCAACCAGAAAUAAAACCCAGUGGCUAUAGACAGCUACUUCCGUAGGGGUGAAGUCUAUGAAAGUUCCCUGAAAUCACAAGUUGUUGAUGGCAUUGAACCAGUCCUGGAUGGAGGAGAUUGUUGGUAUCAGCCACUGGUCCUGUAACAGAGACUCUAGGAAAUAUUGAAAGCGUUGCCUUGACAUGGCGUCACCAGCACCUAAAGAAAAUCAGAGCGAACAAAAACAGGAUGAAGAUAAAAUUAAAGCAAAUGUCAGUUUUUUGGCAGAAGUUCCAUGUCGGGGGACUGACAGAGAAGAGGCCAAGGGCCAUAAGGAGGCUUAAAAGGACAUAAAGGCUUAAAAAUCCAGGAUGGCAGAUUAAGAGGUUCUCCGGGCUCAUUGUCUUCCGCUGUCCGUUGCAUUCCAUCGCGCCUGGUAGUGAGCUUCAGCAAUGAGUGAGCUGUUCUCUUGAAGAUGUUGGGGGCUCAUCGGUCAUCAGAGGCUGGUAGUACCUAAGCAGAGGCUGGCUGAAAAUUUGGUUAGAGAUCUUCCGUAAUUGGCCCUGUAGGAAGCAAAGCAGACAGGGCAGGAACAGACACAUCAGGAAAAGAAGAUGUAUGGGCCCUAAAAGAGGCAACAGCCAUGAUUGGAAGUGGGCUAAAAAGAAGGUGGCAAAUGGGUUUUGGUUUGGUGGAUUUUUCAAAGAGGUAGCCAAGUCGGUGAGCUUGACUACAUUAAUUUCCACAAGGCCUGAUUCGUUGAUGUAGUAACAGCAUUCUUCCCUCAAGAAAAGACAGGUUCCACCUUUUUCGGCUGUGAGUAAGUCUAUAGCUCGUCAAUUUUGAAGAGUAACUUGAGCCAAGGAUGUGACCUGCCUUUGUAAAGAUGCUAGAGAUUCUGCCGUAGAAGUGAGCGCUUGUUCAAGUUUAGAACUUAAGUCCUGUACAGCCCAUAAGGAGUGUCCUAGAGCUCCACCAGAAAUUCCGGCUCCCGCUACAGAUACAGCCAGUGAGAGAUCCACCAGUAUUGGAAGGGAAGCAGCCCGCUUAUUCUGCACUGGGGGAGACAAGAGGGCCUGCACUUCAGCUGGGGUAUAGAGAGUCAAUUGCGGGACAAGCGUCACCAGUAUACAUGGGGUAGAGGUGUUGGUGAAUAAGAUAGUGAUGAGAGAACCAUUACACCAGAAGAAUGAGCCAGGUGGUGCAUAGAGGGUGAAGUUAAAGGUGAUGUUAGAGUGGCAAAACUUUGACUGGGAGACACCCAAGCCCAGGAGGCAGCGCCGGGGAAUCACAGUAUGGUUAGACUCCUCGGGCUCCCAUAAUGGAGCAUCAGGUGAAAGGGUUCGGAGAGAACGGCGGGCAGAUGGAGUGGAGAAAUUUGAGAGGUCAGAAGCCNAGAAGUUCAAGGGAACCGCUGCAAGCAAAGGUCGAGUCAGAGAGGCGCAUAAGUAGCAAUCAGUUGGUGUGAUGGCGGGGAGGGUUAGAUUUAAGAAGGUUACAGUUUCAGUAAGUAGUCGUAGCCAUGAAUACUGUGGUGGACUCCCGACAUUAGGCUCAUAUGGAUCCUGUAUGGAGUCUAACAACUGCUGUUCGGAAUGCUUUAUGUCAGUAGAGAUUAUAGCUACUGAGGGCUGGGAGGGUUGAAGCUCUUGGGAGAUGGAGAUGGAGCCACAGGGGGUGGGAGAUGAUAUGUCACAGUAGAAGGAAGCAUUUACCCUAGAGGUCCAGCGUGGAUGGUUAGGGUCAGUGAUAGCCAAUUGAUAGCCUCCCGAGAUCAAUCUGAAAUUUCCAACGCAGGAACCCCCAAUGCAUGAAUGUGGGUUAUGAACGUUACAUGACCAGUAGGGGCAUCCCCCAUAGGUUUCGGGCCACCAUUUGCAGUAAUCCUCUGUCUGAUCAUAUAAGAAGCAAAGGUAAGGCCUAGUGGCUAUUUUUAAAAGUUCAGAAUUCUGGGAGGAGAGGGAAAGGAAGAUAGAUGCAUUACAUCUGGUAGGGGCGCAAUCGACUGAAGAAACUAGGUGAGUGUAACGAGGACAUAUGUCUCGUUACAUAUGCCUUGGACAUAUGUCUCUGUGACUUUGAAUCUCCAAGUAUCAUGGUGGAGUAGGGCAGGUGGGACACAAGAGGAGGAGUGACAGGAAAGUUUUAGUUGAUUAAGAAAGGCAUCCAUAGAAUAGCUCAAAGGGGCUAAGGCCUGAGGGGGCUCUAGGAGUUGCCCGAAUUUGGGUGAGGGCCAAUGGCAAAAGAUUGGGCCAGGACAGUCUGCGUUCAAUAGCAAGUUUAGUGAGAUGAUCCUUGAGAAUGCCAUUAGGCCUCUCAACCUUACCCGAGGAUUGGGGUCAGUGGGGGAUGUGGAGCCUCCAAGUGCUGUUAAGGCCUUUGGAAACUAGUUAAACAAUCCGAGAAGUGAAGGCUGGACCGUUGUCUGACUGGAUGGAGGCAGGAAGUUCAAACCUAGGAAUGAUCUGCUUAAUGAGGAUGAAGGCGACAGUGUCAGCAGUUUCCGAUGGUGUCAGCAGUUUUCCUGGAGGUAGGGAAGGCUUCUGUCCAACUGUUAGACAGUGCUAUCCCCAAAUUACAAACAGUUAAAUCCUAUGUCAAGGCCUGACCAAAGUGGUAGGGACUGUCCCUAAAGCCUUGGGGUAGGCCUGUCCAUGUCAGCUGUUGAAACCUAAAGAAUGUAAGGUCUUCCCAUGUGAAGGCAAAGAGGUAAUAAAGUCAGGAUGCAAAGGCACUGUAAAAAAGCCAGCUUUAAGGUCCAGGACAGUAAAGUGAAUGGUCAAAGGGGGAUAUGAGAAAGAAAAGCAUGAGGGUUGGAAACCGAGUGGAUGGGAAUAACUGCCUCAUUAAUUAGGUGGAGUUCCUGGACUAAGCGAUAGGCUCCGGAGGGUUUGCGCACCGGCAGUAUGGGGGUGUUGCUGGGGGAGUCAGUAGGAGUAAGGAGUCCCUGGGCCAGCAACCGGUCUAUAAUGGGUUUAAGUCCCUCCUUAUGGGUUUUGGAGAUAGGAAAUUGGGAACACAAGGAAGUUUAGUUUGGUGUUUCAGCUGGGUAUGGACUGGCUUGUGGUGGGAGGCAAUAACCAGCAUGGAGAUGUCUCAGACCUAGGGAUCAGGGGGCAAUGGCACAGUAGGUACUGUCAGGUCAUUAGAGAGGGUAAGAGUUAAAGGCCAAAGGAGAUGGGUGGUAGUAUUCUUGGGGUGUAAUUGGAGGGUGGCUCCUAAUAAUUGGAGAACAUCUCUGCCUAGGAGAGGAACUGACAGGAUGGAAUGACCAGAAUAGUGAGUGAAUGGGUGUCCCUCCAGGGCACAGGCCAGCUUUACAAUUCUGUUUGGGGAGAAGGGUUUGUUAUCAAUCCCCAUAACUGAGACCUGGGAAGGAAACAGAGGCCUAGAAUGGGCAGGCAAGACAGAAUAGGUGGCCCCCGUGUCCACAAGGAAGGUUAUGGACUUACCCGCUGCCUGGAGCAUUACCCUGGGCUCAGAGAGGGCUGAGGGGGUCUUUGAAUCUGGGCUUCUUCAGUCUUCUGCAAACCCCAAAAGUUCAGGAGAGGGGGACUGCCUGACUGGUCAUACCCCCUGCGUAGAGGCGCCAAGGAAGGACCAGCCAGAGGCAGUCAAUCUUCCAAUGUCCUGUCUGCUUACAGGUGGGGCAUGGCCUGGAAGGAGGCCGUGGGUUUGGGCAUUGGCGAGCCCAGUGACCUUCGCAUCCAUAUUUGAGGCGAGCCUCUGGUGGAGAGGAGUGCUGGUUCCCCUCUGAAACUUGCUGGAGAUGUAGGCCUCAGGGCUGCUGUUAAGGCCUGAGUUUGGGGUGUUACCUUCUUUUCUGCAAUGAAGCCUGCUUUAAAAACCAUUUUCACCAGAUCUCAGAUAGGGGUCCGAUAGUCCUCCUCAGCUCAUUUGAGCUUUUUCUGAUAUCAUGAGCCGAUUGAGUAAUGAAAUGGGUUGCUAACACUGUAGCCCUGAUGGGAGACUCAAUAUCUAGCUUAAUGUAUUUGGUUAGGGCCUCUGUAAGGCGGUUGAGAAAUAAGGAUGGAUUUUCAUCAGGGUUCUCGGUAAUGUCCUUCAGUUUAUCAAAGUUAACUACCUUAUUAGAAACUGCUUGCAUGCAGUCCCAGUUAGAUUCAGUUAUGGGACAUGCACUCGGACUAUCCCUUCAGCACCAGCUACUUCCCUGACAGAACAAAGGAACUGUGAGUUAUCUGAUAAAAGGGAUCAGUGGACCCACGUGGGCCUUCCAGGACACCAACCGGAAAUCCCUCCUCCGGAACUUCCCCAACCAACUUGAACUCUCCAGGAAUCCCCUUGAGAACUCCAAAGUAGUGGACAGCAGGGAUCUAAUAUACAAUUGAAUACACAGCUUAACAUUACCAUCAUCAUCUCAAUGGCUUGCUGGCAUCACCUCUCAAUCAUUCCCUUCUGGCCAAAUGACUCAGGCUGUGGCUCUCAGCAAUAAUUGUUUAGUAAGGAGUAAUGUAAGAAAAGAUUCUUUUCUCAAAAAUUUUUUAAAAUAUUUAUUUAUUUAUUUUUUAGUUUUAGGUGGACACAAUAUCUUUAUUUUACAUUUAUGUGGUGCUGAGCAUUGAUCCCAGUGCCUCAUGCAUGCUAGAUGAGCACUCUACCACUGAGCCACAAUCCCAGCCCCUCUCAAAAUUUAAUACAUGUUUUUUCCUAGUGCCAGAUAGAAAUGUUCAUAGGGGAGGAGAAUCUUCCUUUUUUUGUUGUUGUUGUUGGUACUGGGGAUUGAGCUCCGGGGCACUUGACCCCUGAAUCACAUCCAAAGCCCAUUUUUGUAUUUAGAGACAGAGUCUCACUGAGUUGCUUAGCACCUCAUUUUUGUUGAGCUUGGCUUUGAACUCGAGAUCCUCCUGUCUGUCUCCUGAGCUGCUGGGAUUACAGGCAUGUGCCACUGUGCCCAGCUUCCUUUGCUUUUUUAAUCAAGAUAUAAUUCACUCCUAUAUAUAAGUGUAUAUAUAUAUAUAUAUAAAAGUAUAUAUAUAAAGUACAUAUAUAAGUAUGUAUAUAAAGUAUAUAAAAUUCACUCCUAUAAAGUGUAUAGUUUAGUUUUUAGAUCUUAGAGGGUUGUAUACUAUCAUUGUUAUCUAAUUCUAGAACAUUUUUAUCACCCCUGAAAGAAAUCUUAUGCUCAUUAGAAGUCACUUUUGAUACAUAUGUAUUUUAACAGUAUCUAAAGAGUUGGAGCUUUCUUUUAGUAUCUUUUGGUGUAUUUUAUGAUCCUUGAAUAGGCCUCUGACUCUAAGAAAAGGACCCUUUGCUGAAUAGGGAACUGGAUGGAUAAGAUUUAAAUGAAACUUGUUUGGAAAGGGAGAGACACUAUAAACAGAAUCAGUGAUGUUAAAUUGGUAAUGGAAUGAUGAGGAAUAGCUUCUGUAGAGCAGGGUUUUAUAAUCCGUUGGUCACAAUUUUGCAGGUGGCUCUGAAAUUAGUAUCAGUAACUUGCUGUUCUAUCAUGACUUUUUUUCCUCCAGCUUAUAGGCAUUUGUGGGUGGAAUAAAGGGGUGAUAAUCCAAAGAAGUUGAGGUAUAUUUUAAUUUUUUUUCUCACUCACAUGUGGGAUUUUAUUAAUGUUAUGUAUUUCUACAUACACAUAAUAUGACAGAUAUCACUCCCCAUCACUUUCCCUUCCCUCCCUGAGGUACAUUUUUAUGCAAUCCCACACUGCUUUUAAUAUUUGGCUCAGUAAGGGGAUGAAUACAUGAUUGUUGCAUUGGGCAAUAGUAGAUUUCCUGGGAAGAAGCAUGUGUUGGAGGGACCAGAUGUGAAUGGGCUGGUUGAUCCUUUGUGAUUUCCUAGUGGAGACUAUGUACUAUUUUGUUCUAGAGUUUAUAAUCAGGACAUAUAGACAUGCAAAGUAAAUUAAUAACAUGAGCGAUAGAGGAAUGAGUGAGUAAGCAAGGGAUUGGAAAUCUCUCUGAAGAUUCAAACUUGUGCUGGGUCUUGAAAGGUGAAAGAAGGAAGGGGGAAAGUCAUCCAUGUAAGAAAAAUAAUGAACAUGCAAGUCAUGCCUGGGGAAUAAGAAGUCCCUGAGUGGAGCCCCACUGAUAGAAGUCAGGAGAGAAUCUGGGGCUUACAGUUGUUAUCAUAGUAGUGGAAUACCUGCUUAGUAUUUGCAAGACCCUGGGUUUGAUUCUCCCCUCCCCCCCCUUCCCCUCCAAAAAAGUCUGGAGCUAGAUUUAAUUUUAUUUUUGGAGUUAGAUUUUAGGAGGUGGCUUUGAAUACUAGGUGAAGAAGGAAUGACUAUUAGAGGAACUAUGUAGAAUCAGAGCAUUCUAUGGUUGGGACAGGUCUCACAUCUUCCCAUAUGCUCAGAUAUAUCAACAGGACUCACUACCUCAGGAAGUACCUCUUUCCAGUAUUGGUUUGUGUUUAUUUUUAAAGCUUUUUUUUUUCUUCUUAAAUUAAACUGAAAUAUGUCUCUUUAAUCUUUUUCCUGUUUAAGAAGUUCUGCCAUCUGGGUAACACAGAAUAUGAUGAAAAUGGUGUUUUGGUGGGAGACUAGUCUUUAAGCUUUGUGUAGGAAGGGUUAAAGAGAUUGAUAGGCAGUCUGGAGGCAGGACCUUAAGAGUCUGGAGAUCAUCAUAGUAGUCAGGGAAAAUGAAGCUGUAAGCCAGGAACUGCUAUACUAGGAUAUAAAGGAUAUCAAAAUUAAAUUUUUUUAUGAGUCCUUGAAUAGGCCUCUGACCCGAAGUGGCCAGUUAUCUGUCAUGCAGGUUCACUUCCAGCUUGGCUUGUGCAAAUAACCAGUCAUUUUAAUAGAUAAAACUAAGGGACUUGGUAUGUAAAAAAAAUGUAAUAAUUCAUUUUGCUGUGACUUGAGUCAUUUAAAAGUAUGUUGAGAUAGUGUGUGAUAAGAACUCAUAUGAAUUAUCUGAAGUUAGAACAUACUCUCCUCAGCUUAGCCUUAGGAUUCUGCUGUUUCAGUUUUUAGUCAAGUUAAAAUUACUUGACAGUAUUUGCUCCAGUAUUUAGUUACAUUUAUUAAAAAGUCAAUAGUUUUUAAAAAUUUUUAUUUUGAAAAUUGUAGAAUUCAUAGGAAGUUGCAAAGAUGCUACACAGAUCCAGUGUAUUCUCAACCCAGUUUUCCCCAGUGGUUACUUCUUUUUUUUUUUUUUUUUUUUUUUUUUUUGUGGUGCUGGGGAUUGAACCCAUGGCCUUGAGCAUACAAGACAAGCUGUCUACCAACUGAGCUAUAUCCCCAGCCCCGCAGUGGUUACUUCUUAUGGAACUACUAUACAGUAUCAAAACCAGGAAGCUGACUUUGGUAUAAUGUGCAAAUAUAGCUUUCUGUUCUUUUAUUAAAUAUGUAGAUUUGUAUAACAACUACAGUAAUUAAGAUACAGAACUAUUCUAUCUAUACUAAGAUCUCCUUCAUACUACCUCUUUAUAGUUCUAUAUAUACUCCUUCCCCUCUCCAAAUUUCCCUGGUAAAAAUUCUGUUCUCCUCCUGGCAUUUUAAGAAUUGACUGGGCAUGGUGGUGCAUGCCUGUAAUCCUAGCAACAUGAGAGGCUAGGCAGAAAAGUUGCAAGUUAGAGAUCAGCCUCAGAAACUUAGUGAGGGCCUAAGGACAUAGGAAGACCCUGUUUCAAAAUAAAAAAAGGGCUGGGGAUGUGGCUCAGUUUUUAAGUGACCUUGGGUCUCCCAACAAAAGUUAUAUUAACGGAAUCAUACAGUAUAAUCUUUCAGUUUUGCCCCCCUCCAUCCCCCAGCUUGGUGUCCUUGAGAGCCAUCCAACUUGGUGUAUAUAUCAACAGUUUAACUUUUUAUUGCUUGAUAGUAUUCCAUAGGAACUCCAUGCAUGGGUAUCACUUGUCUAUGGCAAAGUAAAGAUUUUCCUUAUUUUUCAUCCUCUUGACAGAACUUUUUUCCCCUGGUGGUUGAGAUUGAACCCAGGGCCUUGAGCAUGCAAGGCAAGCACUCUACCAACUGAGCUAUAUCUCCAGCCUUCAUAGUAUUUUUGUAAAGUAAAAAAUUUUAAUUUUGAUGAAGUCCAGUUUGUUGAUUUCCCCCCCCCGCCCCACCCUCCAAUUUAUGGAUCAUGUCUUCAUGUCCUUGGUGCCAUUUUUAAUAUUUUUCAUCAAGCUCUAGCUUAUGAAGGUUUUUCUUCCCUUUUAAAAGUUUUAUAGUUUUUCAUUUUACAUUUAAGUUUAUGAUUCAUAAGUUUUAUGUAAGGUGUGGGGUUUAGGUCAUUCUUUUUUACCUGUGGAUAUCUAGUUGUUCGAGUAUUAUUUGUUGAAGAGACUAUUUUUUUUUCUCCAUUGAAUUGCUUUUUUAUCUUUGUUAAAAAUAAAUUGAUCAUACUAGUGUAGAGUUGUAUCUUGUUUUUCUAUUUUGUUUCAUUGUUCUAUGUAUAUCUUUUUUCCCUCUGCCAAUACCACACAGUCUUGAUUGCUGUCACUAUAUAAAAGUUUUAGAAUUGGGUAGAAUGAUUCUUUCUAGUUAAUUCUUUUUCUGCAUUAUUUUAGCAAUUCUAGUUUGUUUGCUUUUCCAUAUAAAUAUUAGAAUAAUUUUAUCUAUAUCCACAAGAAGUAUGGAAUUUUGAUAGGAAUUACAUUAAAUUUGUAUAUCAAUUUGGGGAGAAUUGACCUUUUUUUCUAUGAAGUCUGUCACAUUUUACACACACACACACACACACACUCAGGCUAGCAUUCCCAAAGUUUCCAUAGGGUCCUAGUUUUUAGGCAUUAAAAGUAUAUUCCUAAAUUACUCUCUAGUAAGGUUUUAUCUUUAGUUUGCUAAUGUUCAUAUAACCUCACCAAUUAACCAAUUACAAGUUAUAGAAAUUCCUGUCAAACUUGUUUGAGACAAGAGGGUGUUUAUGGACUUAUAAUUGGGAAUUCAAGGAGUAACUUUGAGUCAAAGGAUGUGGGACUUUCUUAACCACAAGUCUCAGUUUUGGCUUGUCUCCUUCCUUCCUCCUUCUCUCCCUCCCAGGGGCACUGUACCACUGAACUACAUCUUAUUUUUUAAAUUUGAGACAGGGUUUUACUAAGUUGCCAGGCUCACCUUGAACUUGUGCUCCUCCUGUCUAAGCCUGCUUAGUCACUUGGGAUCAUAGGAAUGUACCACCACACCUGGCUACCUUUUUGCUUAUAUGCUGUAUGCAUAUUGGACAGUAUGUCUACCACUGAUUAGAGAUGAUCAUGCUUGUUAUAUCAUCUCUGCAGAAAAAGAACUUUUCUUCCUCAGUGUCUUUAAGUGCCUCUGUUUGGGUCAUGCUCAGCCCUAAAUAGGUUUCUGAUGCCAGAGGAGACUGAUUAGCCAGUUUAUGUCACAUGUUUACCCUAGGCGCAAGGAAUCGGGAAGACUUCUCCAAAGGAAGAAGAGGUAUAAUAAAGUGAUGUUGUGUAGAAUUUUUUUUCUUGAUGAUGCUGGAAUAGUCCCAUUAAUAAAUUUUUUCUCCCUCUUUUUGUGUCUUUAAAGAAACUUUGUAUCAUUGGGGGCAAGUGUGUGGUUCAGUGGUAGAGUGUUUGUCUAACACGUAUUGGAUCCUGGGUUUGAUACUCCAGCACUCUUAAGGAGAGAGAAAAAAAAAAAGCAUGAUGGUGCUAAUGGAUUUUGAACAUUUUUUUGUUUGGUAAUAUAUCUGAAACAUAAUGUGUGUGAGAAUGCCUAAGGUAGUGAUAGGUAUCUAUAAACACGACUUUUCCUUUGUUGAUUUGUUGAAGCCCUGUUAUUUUUGUUGUUGAUUGGAAUUCUGUCAGGUUUUAAAAAAAAAUUGAAACAUGUCUCCUUGGGCGGGAGAUGCUGAUCUUUUAGAUUUCCCCCUUUCACUCUUUUGGCAUAGCAAAAGUGGAAUUAUCUUGGAGUAAAAAAAAUCAAGACAUAUUGCUUAUGUCUAUGAUUUUUUUAUUUUUGAAAUUUUGUGGUUCUGGGGAUUGAACACACUCUACCACUGAGCUACAUCCUCAGCCCCUUUUAUUUUAAUACAGGUUCUCACUAAGUUGCUCAGGCUGGCCUUUAACUCGUGAUCCUCCUAUCUCAACCUCCCGAGGCACUGGGAUUAUAGACUUGUGUCACUGUGCCGUGUACUUUUAAAAGUAAAAAUCUUAAAAACUACAGAAAUACCCAUCAUUUAAAACUCAUGGUCUCUUAGGACGCUGAUAUAAAGAAAGGUUGGGGAAUUAGUUUUUUUUUUUUUUUUUUUGGUCUUGGUACUGGCAAUUGAACCCAGGAGCGCUUAACCACUGAGCCAUAUCCCCAGCCCUUUUUAAUAUUUUAUUUAGAGACAGCUAAAUUGCUGAGACCGGCUUUGAACUCACUAUCCUCCUCUUCUAGCCUCCCAAGCCACUGGGAUUACAGGUGUGUGCCUUUGUGCCUGGCUGGAAUGAAGGUUUUUAUUGAUACUGAUACUUUUCUUAUUUUUAUUUUUUUGCAGUACUGGGGAUUGAACCCAGGACCUUGCAUCCCCAGCCCUUUUAAAUUUUUUUUUUUUUUUAAAUUUUUUAAAUCUUGAAACACUGUAUCACUAAAUUGCCUGGGUUGGCCUCCAAACUUGCAAUCCUGCUGCAGUCUUAUGAUUUGCUGGGAUUACAGGUUUGUACCACUGCUCCCAGUGACAUAUUUUUACUUCUCUUAGCAAUGGUGUGGUGUGGUUGAGAACAUAACUGCAAUCUUCUUUGAUAUAGCUUGAGUGACUUGUAUAUGGGGGAGGGGAGAGAGUAUGUGUGUUUGUGUGUGUGUUUACAUUGUGAAUUUUGUAAAGGCAUUUUUUUAUUUUUAAAAUUUAUUUAUUUAUAAGAGUUUUAUAGUUAUACAUAAUGGUUUGGUUCAACCCAACAAACUCAUACAUGCAUGGAAAUCGAUUUCAGUUCAUGAUCCCCCUUGUAAAGGCAUUUUUAAGGAAAAAUUAUGUAUAUAUUCCCUGACAAAAAGGAUAUUCACUAUAGGCUGCCCAGCUCUUGAUGUAUAAUUUUUUCCCCUGGCAACUGACUGAAGUCAGAUUGAAGAAAGUGAAAAUUGGUCUCCUGUCCAGUGCAAAUGUUGAAAACUUCAGACUGAUGUACCCACAUCUAAUAUUGGCAGCCUGGAAGAUAGAUGUUAAAAGGCAGAUAUGAUUUGGACAAAGCAACUGUCAGUGACUGCCUUGAGUGGGAUUUGAGAGGUAGACAGGAGGCACAGUAGAGUCUCAGUUUGCUGAGUUCAUAAUGUAAAGAUUUAAAGCAUAGCUAUGAGGAGCUUUGUGUGGGUGUGUGAGAGAUUGCAUUUUAAUUCAUGUAGUCCAGUUAGUGUGGUUUUAGGUUUAAACCAUGAGCUUGAUCUUACAUAUGGCUCUUUAAUUUUUCACAGAAGAAAAAUGACAAAUAUUUCUCCUUUGGAAUGCUGAGUAUGGUUUUCAAAACGUGUUAAUGAUGCUCUGGAAGAGCAAUAGCGGAGGAACAUUUAACAUUUUGAAGAUUAAAGUUAAUUAGGUUUUUAGAUUAGUAUAAUAACUUUCUUCAUUAAAUCUAAUAAGAAAUUAGCUGAUUUUUCUCAUAUUCUUGCCUUGAGUUUUGGCUUCUCAUUUGUUAUCCUCCCUUUUCUUUCCCCUUGCCUUCUGGGUAGGAUUUUCAUCCAGUUUUCUCCUCUUACUUUUCACAAAGUCUCUUUUCAUGUGAUCCCUUAUGGCUGGCUGGGUCUAUUGUUAGAAGUGCUUCCACUCCAUUUUUUUUUUUUGGUACCAGGGAUUGAACCCAGGGGCGCUUAACCACUGAGCCACAUCUCCAGCCCUCCACUCCAGUUUUUACCUUUUGUGUGUUUCUCAGGACUGUGAUUAAUUUAAAAAAAUUGGUUCAUUAUUGAUCCCCCUUACCUCUAGUCUCACCAUUUAAUCCAUUUUCUCUUGUUCCUUAUUUAACUUGAGCAAGAAAAGCAAAAUAUAAAUUCUGGAAAAAUCAUUAACUGGUUGUCAUCUGGGAGUUUUAUAUCUUAAAAUUGUCUGUCUAACUUAAAACUCAAGUUUCCAGGGUGGAGGCUAUAUUUUUUUUUUUUUUGACUUGUGAUGUGUCAAGGAUGCUGUCUGCUUCUGGAUCACUACCCUUGUGUGAGCAUAUGCUGCUUUGCAGAGAUUCGAGGUCUGCUAUAGCCAACUUGGAAGUGAGGAAAGAAGAGUGAAGUUAUUAAAUUCUAAUGUUUCCUGUCAUUUUGAAAUUUCUCCUCUUUUGUUUUUUUAAAAAAUUAUCUUGUUAAAUUCACAAAGAAAACUCAGAUGAUACUUUUAAGUUACAGUAGGUAAUAUUACUGCCUUAAUAUAUUUAUACAAUGUAGCUGAGGAAGUUAUCUUAGGUAUAAAAAUUUUGGCUUUGGCAAGACUUGAGUCAUGGUGUUGCAGUAACUUGGUUUCUUCUAGUUAAUUUCUUAAGAAAGUGAUUCCAAGUUGAAAUGCAUGUUAUGCAUUUAUUUGAAUAUGUAAUCAGGAAGCAAGUGCCUCUCUUUGGAGUGUUUCUGAAUAGCAGCAGGGUGCACUUGAAUUAGUAAGGAAAAUGAGAACAUGAAUAUGUGUGAUACUCUAUUUUAACUUAAAAAGAAAAAAAGUUCAUUCUGUCUGUCCAUCCCAGGAUGGAAAGGCGGAUAUGUUGGGAGGUUUUCUAGGCUAUACUGAUGUAUAUUUAAAUAACUUGAUGCUACAUGUUUAUUUCUUGGAUUGACUUUCAAAGAUAAAUAGUUUUGUGGAUUAAAAAAGACAUUAUCAUCCCAGAAAGUUCUUUUAAAGUAUCUGUCAGAAAUUCUUUGAAUCAUUGUCUGUUUUUAUUUGAAUCAUUGUCUUUUUUUUUUUUUUUUUUUUGUAACUAAGGUAUAUUAUCUAAGGGCCUGAGGUUUUUGCCAAAUAUUCUCCAAUAAAUAAUGAAAGGGUAAAGAUGGAGACAAUUGUUGUAUUUAGGUUCGUCCUCAUAUCACUAUGGGUUAUGCCAGAUAUACACCAUCAUUUGUUUUCUUCCCAUAAGGGUUGUGUUAUGAAGUCUGUUAUUCUUUGUAACCAUAUUGCUAGUUUAUCUUCAUUGACAAGUAUGGAAAAUGUCUUCAGGCUGGUAAUGGUCUUGUAGGCUCAAGUGUUCCCUUGUCUUGGCCUCCUGAGUAGCUGAGAAAACAGGGACUAUAGACCUGUACCAUCAUAUCCAGCUGUAUUAACUUUUUUUGGUACUGGGGAUUGAACUCAAAGGUGCUUUACCACCGAGCCACAUCCUCAGUUACACCCCCAAACCCCUUUAAAAAAAAAUUUGUGACAGGGCCUCACUAAGUUGCUUAGAGCCUUGCUAGUUUCUGAGGCUGUCCUCAAACUUGUGAUCCUCCUGCCUCAGCUCCUGAGUUGCUGUGAUUACAGGUGUGCACCACUGCACCUGACUAUAUUAACUUGAUUAUCUUGAAAUUGGCAACUAAUCUUGUGAAUUCUAGGUUCUGUCAUUUUUAUUAUUUGGUAAAAUGAGAGUUGGUGGAAUGAUAACAAAGAGAUAAAAAUGGUUAUGUCACUUCUUGGUGAGACCCCUUGAUCAGAUGUGUUUAAGAGUAUUUGGCAUAAAGUAGGUUUAUCAGUGUAACUAAAGCACUAAAAAGUAAUUUUUAAAAAUUUAAUUGAUUUUUUUAAAAAAAUACACAACAGUGGAAUGCAUUACAAUUCUUAUAAAAAGUAAUUUUUUGAAAAUUUUAUUUUUGGUACCAGGGAUUGAACCCAGCGGUCCUUGACCACUGAACCAUAUCCCUAGCCCCCCUGCCCCUCUUUUUUAAAUUUUGAGGCAGAGUCUUGCUGAGUUACUUAGGGCCUCACAAGUAGCUGAGGCUGGCCUUGAACUUGCAAUCCUCGUGCCCCAGCCUCUCAAGUCACUAGAAUUACAGGUAUAUGCCACCAUGCCCCCACCUCACUUUUCAAAUACUUAAGAAAUAUGAUAUAUAGAGUAUGACAAAUAAAUAUAAUGAUAGUCUUUUACAUUAGAAAAUUGAAGGCUUCCGUUAUUAAUGAAUAUGAGCUAUUGGAGAAGGAAAAAUAUUUUUUCUUUUUAAAAUUUUUUAAAUUUUAAUUAGAUAUAUAUGACAGCACAAUGUGUUUUGAUUCAUUGUACACAGUUGCAGCACAACUUUUUAUUUCUCUGAUUAUACACGAUGUAGCAUAGCACUGUAUGUGCAGUCAUAUAUGUACCUAGGAUAGUAAUGUCCAUCAUACAUCCAUUAUUCCAUAUUUUCUGCCUCCAUAUUUCCUCCCCUUCCUUCCCUCCCCUUUACCCCAUCACAAAGUUCCUCUAUUUUUCCCAUGUCCUCCCCCAUUAUGGAUCAGCAUCCACUUAUCAGAGAGAACAUUCAGCCUUUGGUUUUUUGGGAUUGGCUUAAUUUCUUUAGCAUGAUAUUCUCUAACUCCAUCCUUUACCUGCAAAUGCCAUAAUUUUAUUCUCUUUUAAUGCUGAGUAAUAUUCCAUUGUGUGUGUGUGUGUGUGUGUACACACACACACACACACACACACAAUUAGUUUCUUUAUCCAUUCAUCUAUUGAAGGCAUCUAGUAUGAAUUGAGCUGCUAUAAACAUUGAUGUGGCUGCAUUGUAUAGUAUGCUGAUUUUAAAUCCUUUGGAUAUACACUAAGGAUUGAGAUAGCUGGGUCAAAUUGUGGUUCCAUCCCAGGUUUUCUAAGGAAUUUCCAAACUGCUUUCCAUAGUGGUUGCACCAAUUUGCAGUCCCACCAACAAUGUAUGAGUGUGCCUUUUCCCCUACAUCCUUGCCAACACUUACUUACUGUUGUCUGUAUUCUUGAUAACUGCCAUUCUGGCUGGAGUGAGAUGAAAUCUUUUUAAAAAUUUUUUUAUUUAAUAUUUAUUUUUUAGUGCAGUUGGACACAAUACCUUUAUUUUAUUUAUUUUUAUGUGGUGCUGAGGAUUGAACCCAGGGCCUCACACAUGCUAGGCGAGCGCUCUACCCCUGAGCUGCAACCCAGCCCCAGAGAUGAAAUCUUAGAGUAGUUUUGAUUUGCAUUUCUCUAAUUAGAGAUGUCAAACAUUUUUUCAUAUAUUUGUUGAUCAAUUGUAUAUCUUCUGAGAAGUGUCUGUUCAGCUUCUUAGCCCAUUGAGUUGUUUGUUUUUUUGGUGUAAAGUUUUUUGAGUUCUUUAUAUAUCCUGGAAUUAGUGCUGUAUCUGAUGCGUGUGGCAAAAAUUUGCUCCCAAAAUGUAGGCUCUCUCUUCAUCUCAUUGAUUGUUUCUUUUGCUGAGAAGCGACAUUGUAGUUUGAAUCCAUCCCAUUUAUUAAUUCUGAUUUUAUUUCUUGUGCUUUAAAAGUCUUUUUAAAGAAGUGGGGGCCUAAUCUGACGUGAUGAAGAUUUGGGCCUACUUUUUCCUCUAUUAGACACAGGGUCUCUGGUCUAAUUACUAGGUCCUUGAUCUAGUGCAUGGAGGGACAGAGGUUUAGUUUCAUUUUGCUGCAUAUGAAUUUCCAGUUCUUCCAGCACCAUUUGUUGAAGAGACUAUUUUCUCUCUAAUGUAUGUUUUUGGUUCCUUUGUUUAGAAUGAGAUAACUGUAUUUAUGUGGGUUUGUCUCUGUCUUCUGUUUUGUACCAUUGGUCUACAUGUCUAUUUUGGUGCCAAUAGAAAAAGAUUUGAGAGAAUUAAAAUCAUUUUCAGUUACAGAGAACAAAAUAACUCAAGCAAAGGUCAUCUCAAAUCAGUGGGAGGAAGGAAUCAGAAUUCCUCUUAUAGCCAUGAAUCUGAUCCUGAGAUGAAUAAUUUGAACACAUUUAAGAUGGUUGAUAGAUCGCAAAUUCUUCACCUGAAAGGUUUUGUUAUUUUAACACAGGACUGUUUUUGCUGGUUUUAAAAUAAACAUUCAGUUGGAUGUCUUAAAAUAUCUUUUCUCUGUUGGUAGUUGUUAAUAAACAAUAUUUUCUCAAAAAAUGUUCUUUUUGCUGGGUACACUGGCACACACCUAUAUUCCCAAAGGCUCAGGAGGCUGAGGCAGGAGGAUUGCAAAUUCAAAGCCAGCCUCAGCAACUUAUUGUGACCCCAUUUCAAAAGAAAAAAUUAAAAGCACUGGGGAUAUGGCUCAUUGGUUAAGAGCCCUUGGGUUCACCCCCCCCCCCCCCAAAAAAAAAAAAAAAGCUGGGGAUGUAGCUCAGUGGCAGAGUGCCCUUGGUUUCCAUCCUCAGUAUGGGUAAAUAAAUAAAUUAAUAAGUAAAUGGGGUAGAAGGGCUGAGGGAGAGGUAAAGGCCUUCCUCAAGUCUCUCUGCAGUAGCUGUAAACAGAAAAUAAAAGUGAUGAGAUUGGGGCUGCAAAUACCUACAAUAACUCAUAUUUUAGAUAAGUCUCUCAAGAUGACUGAUUUUUAUAAAGUUUUUGAAAAACAUUUGGUAAUGUAUGCUUUACAUUUUGGAAGUUAACUAGCAUCGUUUAUACCUUAGAAAACAGAUUUCAAAACCUGAAUAUUAUGCAUUGUACACAUGAAACAUACUUUUAACUUUGUUAUCAUUUAAAAACUUUUUUCUUUAGAAGUAUAUUCAUUAUAGGAAGUUAAGAAAAUAAUUACAUAUCAGGCCAUACGUACUACCUUGUGAUAAAUUGUCAAUAUUUUGAUGUAUGUUGGUUGUGGUCUGUUCCAUGACUUGCUUUUGUCAUAAACACAUUAUGAUCUCUGUUUUCACUGUAUAACAUUGAUUGUUUUAUAUUUGCUAUUUAAAGUGGAAAUGAACAAAACUUUUCACUAAUAAAGUCAUCUGGUCUGGGAAGUUCGUGUAAUUUAUAGAAGAUAAGCCAUAUUCCUCUACUAAGCUGAAAAAUUCAUGUUUCUUUCUGGAUGUUAGAGUUGGUAUGUGGCUAAUGACCAUGUUCUGAAUAGGUUUAAGAAUUGAAAAAAAGUAGAUGAGAAAGUGAAGGGGGCAUGGAAGUAUUUGUUUACAUAUAUUAUCUCAUUUUAAUUUUCAAACCAAUUCAGAUGGGGAGAUGGUAUUUCUAUUUUGAAAAAAAGACAAAUAGUCGAGAUGAAUCAACCCAAAGUCACACAGCCAUCAAAUAGUGAAGGUGGGAUUCAGAUCAAUUCUAAAACCUUGUUUUAUCUAUGCCAGGUAAUGUUCUGGAAGAAAGGUAAUACAUACUCAUUAACUUACCCUUGUAACAUUCUUUAUUUUAAAGGAGCAACAUGAUAGAAUAUGUCACAUCUUUUAGGCUCAAGUUAAAAACAAAAACUGUAGCCUUUUUUAAUGUUCUCUUUUUCUGUCUUUCGUUCCCCUCUCGUUCCCGCAUGUACGUGUCCCCACUCCCCCCAAUUCAAGCCUGUCUUUUCAAGGGGGAUUUAGUUAAGAUAUUUGAUGCUUCAGAAAGGCCUUGAACUUGUCCUGUUCCAAUAAAUAACUUUGGGGGAUUUUUUUUUGGUUUUCUUCCUUUGCAAUUAGUCUUUGUUAUUGUUUUGAACUCCAGAAGAGUUUAAAUUUUAUCCCCAGUUUAGGAGAAAACAGCAGGGGGUGAUAGAUCUGAUUUCAUGGCAGAUGGUAGUGGGUUCUCUUAAAUUUAAUCUCCUUUAUAUCUUAGGAGAUUAUAUCUUAGUUAAUAUGUAGUUGACUGGUGGCAAUUGGGACAAAGCCAGAAGACCUAACUAUGUCCUAAGCUUUUACUGCUUGCAUGAGAGCCUGGACAGAUCUCCUCUUUGUUUUAGUUUGCUAGUUUACCCUUUUGUGUGAAGAGAGCUUUUGAACUCCUAGAAAUGUGCUAAGGCUAAUCUUUUAAAAAUUUUUUGAUUUAUUUUUGCAUUUGAUUUUGUAAAAAUACUUUUAAAAGAAAUCUCAUCCAUGUUAUUGUCGUGUUCUUAUUUUUAUUAUUUUUUUAGUUGUAGAUGGACAUAUUAUCUUAAUUAUUAUUAUUAUUAUUAUUUAAUGUGGUGCUGGGGAUUGAACCCAGUGCCUUACACAUGCGAAGCAGGUGCUCUACCACUGAGCUACAGCCCCAGCCCCUUGUCAUGUUCUUUUUACAGGGAUUACCAUUGAGCAAAAGAAUGAAGAUCUUGUUCUUAGCUAUGGGCUUACUUACAUGUUUGUCCAUAGUUUUGUGAAUAGGGAAAAUUUGGAUAUUUUAAUUCAUAAUUUAGUGUGCUUUUUUAAAAAACAGAUUAUUUUUUUAGUUGUAGGUAGACACAAUACCUUUAUUUUAUUUUUGUGUGAUGCUGAGGAUCGAACCCAGUGCCUCACUAUGCUAGGCAAGCGCUCUACCUCUGAUCUACAACCCCAGCCCCCUAGCGUGCUUUUUUAAAAGUAUUUUAAAAGUAUUUUAACAUUUUUUAAAAAUGUAUUUUUCAUUAUUAAUAUGUUAGCUAAACAGUUUAAGAACUUGCCAAUGUGCCUUUGAGCUGAAAGAAUAGGUUGGAUGUAAAUGUUUUUUUCACUAGUACUAGCCAUUGAACCAGAGACCCUCUAUCCCAGCCCUUUUUAUUUUAUUUGAGAUAAAGAGUCUGGGGUUCUCCUGCAUUAGCCUCCCAAGUCUUUGGGAUUAUAGGCGUGCACCACUAUGCCUGGCUAAUGUGUUUAGUUUACCUGGCUUCUUCCUUCCAGUUUCAGUUGUUUGCUGUCAUUGAUCUGUUGUUAUUUUGGAACCAUAUCAUGGUAGCUGAAGAAUGAACUGGGUUAAGAGUUACAACUUAGAGGAAGGAGGAGGUUAUGAUGAAAAGAAAAGAGUUGGUGAAAAAUUUGAGAGUCAGCAUGUCAAGGUUAUGUGAUUGUUAAAAUUGCCAGGUUUCAUUUGUUCAUUUAAAUGUAACCUAGUCUUUGAAGAGUUUUGAUUCAUUUAGAUGGACUGUAGAUUUAACAGUCUUUUUAAAAUUCAUUCUGGGGGCUGGGGUUGUGGCUCAGUGGUAGAGCACUCGCCUAGCACACGUGAGGCUCUGAGUUCGAUCCUCAGCACCACAUAAAAAUAAAUAAAUAAAACAAAGGUAUGGUGUUGAACAUAACUAAAAAAUAAAUAUUAAAAAAUAAAUAAAAUUCAUUCUGUUUGGCCUAAUUUGAGCCCUUACCUGUGUCUUCUAAUUCUUUCAUUCACUUGAAGUUUACUCCCUUUUUUAUCUCCAUCCUGCUCAGAUUUUAACAGAGAACCAGAGGAACUUCUGAAAAAACUGGGAUUUUUCAACAUUAUCAAACUUCAUACUGUUUAGAAGCCUCUUGCUAUUUUGCAUUUACUUUUCAUUUGAGGGUCCUGGAACUGCCAUUUAUUCCACUUGGCCCUUACCUCCUCCUGUGGUCCUGAUUGUGUGUGCUUCUGUCUUUGGCCCAGAAUAUUCAUUCUUCAGUUGGGCACUAUGAGUCUCCUUUUGUCUCUCCCCACUCUUAAUAUUUGUUAUUAAUUCCAGUUGUGAUAAUAAAAAGUAUGGCAGUGGUAGGCACUGCUCUCUGCACUCUGCUGAGUACUUUGUGUGUCCUAGAGCAUUUGGUUUCAUCUCCGCAGCCCUGGAAAGUGGGCACAGGCAGUUCUGGCUUUGCAAGGUUCUGAUGUGCGCACAUUUUCAGUUACCAACAUUUAGUUAAAUACCACCAGUCCCCCAAUAGUUCAAAAUUUAGUUACCACAGUAUACUAAUUAACAGUGAAGAUUUGCAUAAAGUAAGUACUAACCUUGCUGUUAGCUCUGAAGUAUACAUAUUGCCACAUAAAUAACUGAUUCACAUUAUGGUCAGUGACCAAUUAUGUCACUCUUUCCAGUUUGUUGAUUGUUCAUUGUGCAUCUUUUUUUUUUUUUUUUUUUUUAAAGAGAGAGUGAAAGAGGGAGAGAGAGAGAGAGAGAACUUUUUUUUUAAUAUUUAUUUUUUAGUUUCCGGCGGACACAACAUUUUUGUUUGUAUGUGGUGCUGAGAAUGGAACCCAGGCCGCACGCAUGCCAGGCGAGCUCGCUACCGCUUGAGCCACAUCCCCAGCCCUUCAUUGUGCAUCUUAUCAGUUUAUGUAGAGUGUGUAGUUGUGUUGUCCUUCCCUUCCAGUAAUAAACCCACUAGAACCAUUUUACAAAAGUAGAGAAUUAAAAGAGGAAAUUAACGAACAAAAAAAUGGAUGCUCAGGCAAAGAAAUGAAAAAUGAUAAAUUGAAUAGAAGAAAAAUGGAGGAAAUAGCCAACCUCAGUAAUGUUUAUUCUGUUGCUGUUUAAAAUCCUAGGUAAGUGCCAAAGGAAUUUGCUGAAGGAACAUUCCUUCACUUAUGUGAGGAAAGUGAUUGUGAUGAAAAGGAAGAUGAUGUUCAAGAGAAAAUGAUGUCAUAAAAAAAUGUCAUGUUAAAGGAACUCUUGUAGAUAAUUUAUGAACUUGAAAAUGAAAAGAUUAAGAGCUGGAUAUGGUAGUGGGAUAUAUAUACAGAUGUAAUCCCAGUGACUGAGGAGGUUGAGGCAGGAGUAUUGCAAAUUUGAGGACUGUUUUGGCAAUUUAGCAAGAUCCUGUCUCAAAAUAAAAAUGGACUGGAUAUGUGGCAAGCAAGCAUUGUUAAUACUACUUUUGAGAGCUUUUUUUGUUGUUGUUGUCAUUGUUAACAGAAAGUUUUUAGCCUUAACCUUAACAACAACAAUAACAAAUUCUCAGUGUACUGUAAAGUUUAACAUAGUUUAUUGAAUAUGUAUAUGUUUGUAAUAAUAAAGGAGUUUUUAAUAUGUUGACAAAAAAUUUUAAUGGUUACAGCACAAUCAUAAUUUUUCCAUUGAUGAUUAAGAUCACUUUGCACUGUUUCAGCCUGUCUGAAUAUUUUUAUAGUCUUGUGCUACUAACAAAGAUUAUUAAUGUUAUUAUUUCUGUUUUACAACUGUGUAAACCACCACCUAUUUAGUGGUAAAAAAAAACUAUAGUUUCUGACCCUUAAAGGUGACCUUUGAACAGAAGAAUACUCAUAAAACAAAUUGAAGACCUUUUCUCUGAUUUUUGAUUUUGUUUUACCUAAUAAUACUAAUUUUAAAAAUAUAUACCAAAUAUAUACCCUAUGUUGUCUCUCAUGGUACAAAGUAGUGAAUUAGACAUUUUAAAAUUAUUAUUAUUAUUUUGAUGCUGGGAAUUGAACCCAGGACCUCACUAGUCAAGAGCUCUAUUAUCAAGCUACAUAGCUACAUCCCCAAUCUCUCAUAUUAUUUUAAUAGAUGCUCACAGUGGGGUAUUCUUGACAUUUUAGAGAGGAAACAGGCGUAUAGAGUCCAGUUGUGUAGCUGGUAAAUGAAAAAAACAAAAUCUAGGCCUUCAGCUCCAAGACCUGUACUCAUUCAUGUUAUUACAUUUGAUGUUCCCCCCCUUGUUAAUAUCAUAAUUCACAUACCAUAAAAUUUACCCCUUAUAAAGUAUGUAAGUGAUUAGUUCUUAGUACAUUCACAAGGUGUAUAGCUGUCACCCCUGUGUAAUCUGACAUUUUCAUCAACUCAGAGAAAAAUCCUGUUGUAUCUAUUAACAUUAAGUUCUGAUACUCCUACCCCAUUACCCUGCCCGCAACCACUAAUAUAUCUACUUUUUGUCUCUAGAUUUGCCUGUUGUAGAAAUUUCAUACAAAUGGAAUGGUACAAUUUGUGGCUUUUUGUGACAGACUUCUUUAACUUUAUGUGAUUUUUAUUUUCUUUCUAUUUUAAAGGCACUGAAGAGGUUUAUUUAGCAAAGUAGAUACACAUUCAAGGAAGAAUUGAGGCAAUCAAAAGAGAUUUACCCCACUGGGUAAUGUACCAGUACUUUGGUAAUGAAGCAGCACUUUGUUACUUUUUAUUGUUAUAUAUAGGGAUAUAUUACAAUUUGUUUAGCCAUUCAUUAAUUGAUGGGUGUUUGGCUUUUUAACUAUUAUGACUAAAGCUGCCAUGAGCCUUCAUGUAUACAUUUUGAGGUAUAAUAAUUAUACUUAGGUAUAAUAAUAUUAUAUAUAUUAUGUAUAAUAUAUAUAAUUAUUAUACUUAGGUAUAAUAUUAUACUUGAUGCUAGCCUGGGCAACACAGUAAGACUUCACCUCCAAAAAACAAAAACAAAAACAAGUUAGUGAUUUUUCUCAACUAAGCCUUCCAGGUAGCUGCAGUUGUAGGCAUUUGCCACUGUAACUACACACCUUCCCCCACCCCUUCUCCUUUUUAAUUUCUCUCAAUUUAUAUGCUGUCAUUCAGCUCUUGCUUGUCCCCUUCUCACUUUUAAGACAACCCUAGCUUGGAAUCUUUAAUUUUUGUUGGUUUCUUCUUAAUACUUUAUAAUCAAAAGUUAAUAGAUCUUUUGACCCCUGCCUUUAAAAUUUUCUAUUACUCUUUCCUAGGUCACCACUGCAGCUUUCUGAUGCCUCUUUCUGGUCAGGUUUAUUGUAUGUAAGAUUAGGUUAAUUUUCUCCUUCCAUGAGUUUGACUUCCUCUAGCUCAAGGAUUCUUUAUUGAAUUCUGUUUGUCCAUGGCCUUUCUAUCCAUUACUUCUUUCUCUCCUGUAUACAGCCCUCACUUUUCAGUUAGAUUAAAGAAUUCAGGUUCCAAUUGUAUCUUAUUGUGUUCCUCAGCUUGGAUCUAAGAAUGUUAGUAUUGACAUUGCAAAUCCUGGUCUAUGAUUCACUAGUUUGGUGACAGGGAUUAAGUUAUUUGACCUGUGUAAGCAUUAGUUGCCUUUGUGUGUGUGUGUGUGUGUGUGUGUGUGUGUGUGUGUGUGUGUUGCUGGGGAUUGAACCCUGGACCUUUUGCAUGCAAGGCAAGCACUCUACCAACUGAGCUAUAUCCCCAGCCCUAGUUGCCUCAUUCUUAAAAAGGGCUAAUGCCACCUACUUUCUGUAUGAUUGAUAAAAUUAAUUUAAUGUUGCACAUUAUUAUGUUCAUUCUACUUGAAGUGGUAACUCUUAAUUCUCCUGCCAAAAUCCUUCCUAUCUUUUGCAAGUUGGGUCCAGUUCAGAAUACCUUCCAUGUACCUGUUAACAUUUUACUUCUUCACCAAACUGGUUGUUAGUGCUUCCUUCUUUGAUAUCUCAUAGAACCCUAUGAAAGCAUGGGCUGUUUGUUGUGGACAUACUGCUAGUCCCUAAUAUAGUCCUUGAUGUGUGGUGGGUGUUCAUAUUUGUUGAAUAAAUAAAUCUUUUUUUGUGGGGGGGGGGCACCAGGGAUUGAAUUCAGGGGCAUUCAACCACUGAACCACAUCCCUAGCCUUAUUUUGUAUUUUAUUUAAAGACAGGGUCUCACUGAGCGGCUUAAGGCCUUUUACUGAGGCUGGCUUUGAACUCGUGAUCCUCCUGCCUCAUCCUCCCAAGCUGCUCGGAUUACAGGUGUCCGACACUGCAUCCAGCUAUAAAUCAUUUUUUAAAAUACCGUGAGACAUUAUUGUUAAUGUUAUGAAUUUACAUGAUUGCCAUAUGUCAGUAUCUUUUUAAAGAUAUAAGGGAGGCAUAUAUCAGAUAUAGGAAAACCUUUCAUCUGCAGAGUUCUUCAUCAUGAGUUAUUUCUGAUCUGAUAAAUAUGCAGAGCUUAUCUUUACUCUUAGUAUUCUAUAGAGCUUUUAAGUCUAAUUGAUGUAUGAAUCGGAGGUAACUUUUUUCCCCUUCUAAGCUCAUAUUGUACAACUAAAGUUGAUAGAAAUUCUUUUGUGUUGAGAAAUAGUUUACUUUUUUGAAAAUGGCCCUUAAAAUAAAACAAACAAACAAAAUACAUGGAAAUGAGAAAGAGAAUGGCUUUUAGGCUUUAAUCUACAGUGGAUAUACUCAGCAGAGAAAGAGAGUAAGUGCUUUUCCAAGACCCCAAAGAUAACACCAUACAACUACCAUCAGAAUACCAGUGGACAAGACAUAGCCCUGGCCCUCUAUGUGCUUCCAGCUAUAAGAAGGGAGGUAUAGCCAGGCACAGUGGCGUAUACUGUAAUCCCAAUAGCUUGGGAGGCUGAGGUAGGAGGAUCACGAGUUCAAAGCCAGCCUCAGCAGAAGUGAGGCGCUGAGCAACUCAGUGAGUCCCUGUCUCUAAAUAAAAUACAAAAAAGAUCAGAUGUAGCUCAGUGGUUAAGUGCCCCUGGGUUCACUUCCUGGUACAAAAAAAAAAAGGAGGAGGAGGAGGGAGGCAUAAUAAUCACCUGAAAUGCUUAUCAAUAGAAAUUAAUAAAACAAAGUAUAAUUUGUGUAAGUUUCCAGGAAAUAAUGUAAAUAAAUUCUUUUUUGUUUUAAAAAAUUGCUCUAAAGAGUUAUACAUGACAGUAGAAUGCAUUUUGAUACAUUAUUCAUAAAUGGAGUCUAACUUCUCAUUCUUCUGGUUGUACAUGAUGUAGUACAAUUACAAUUGUGUAAUCAUAUAUGUACAUAGGGUCAUAAUAUCUGAUUCAUUCUAUUGUUUCUGUCCCCCUUGUAAAUAAAUUCUUGAACUCAGGAUUGUAUAUGUUGUAUAUACUUUUAAAAAAAAAUAUUUUUUAGUUGUAGUUGGACACAAUACCUUUAUUUUAUUUAUUUAUUAAUGGUGCUGAGGAGGUAGGUAGGCGAGCGUUCUACCGCUGAGCCACAACCCCAGCCCUGUAUAUUCUUUUUUUAAAAAAAAUUUAAAAUUUAUUCUAAUUACUUAUACACGACAGUAGAAAACGUUUAUGCACUUUGAUAUAUCAUACAUAAAUCGAUAUAAUUUCUCAUUUUUCUGAUUAUACAUGUAGAAUCACAUUGGUUGUGCAGUCAUAUAUGUACAUAAAGUAAUAAUGUCUGUUUUUUUUUUUUUUUAAUAAUAUCUGUUUUUUUCUAUUAUCGUUCCUACCCACAUAUCCUUCCUACCUACUUACCCCCUCCUUCCCUUAACUCCUCUCUUUCUAAUCUAAAGUAAUGAUAUUCUUCCCCUGAUUUUUUAGGUGUAGAUGGACACAACACAAUGCCUUUAUUUUUUUAUGUGGUGCUGAGGAUUGAACCCGGGUCCUGCCCGUACUAGGCGAGCGCUCUACCGCUGACCCACAAUCCCAGCCCUUAACAUGAUAUUCUACAGCUCCAUCCCUUUACUGGCAAAUGCUAUAAUUUCAUUCUUCCUUAAGGCUGAGUAAUAUUCCAUUUUACGCCCCCCCCCCUUUUAAAAAAUCCAUUCAUCUCUUGAAGGUCACCUAGGUUGUUUCUAUAGUUUAGCUAUUGUGAGUUCAGCUUAUGCUGGAUAUUCUUUUUUUUUUUUUUUUUUUGUGGUGCUGGGGAUUGAACCCAGGGCCUUGCGCAUGGGAGGCAAAGCACUUUACCAACUGAGCUAUAUAUCCCCAGCCCUGGAUAUUCUUAACAACUAUGAUAAAGUCUAUUUUAUGUUUCAAGCUUAAUUUUUAAAAUUAUAGAUGCAAUAACCAGUUUAUUAUAGAACCUGGUUUCAUAAGUACAAAAUAAUAUUAAGAGGCAGAAUGUAACCUAGUAAUAACUCUUAGUUGCCUUUUCACUGCAGUUUUUUCUUUAAAAAAAAAAACACACCACAGAUUACAUACAUUUGGAAUUUCAUAUUUUUCUGCUUAAGAUUAUAUCAUAAACCUUUACAUUUUUCAUAUGCUAAUAUUUUUAUAAUAGUUGUAGCCUCACCAUAAUUUACUUAACUAGUUUCUUAUUGUUGAGCAUUUGACCUAUUGUCAGUGUUUUGCUAUAAGAGAAAUGAAAGAAUCAGUGACUGAACUCUGAAUUUUCAGAUAUCAAAGAAUAUUUGUUAGGAAAGUAGAAAUUGGAUAGUUGGGAUGGUUAGGGAAGUGUGGUGGUAUACCUAGUGGUGGUUGUAUUUCUGAAUUAUUCUGUGGAUGUGGGUGUAGAUUGCAUUUGAUUAGUGUUUUUUCCUCUCCCCUUCAAAUCUUAGUUUUUUUUUUCCACUUCUUUAGUAAUAGCUUUUUGAAAAAGCAUAUUAUCAUUAGAUCAAAGGGAAGAAAUAUUUUUAAGUCUUUUGAUAAUAGUGCAAGUCACUUUUUGGAUAUUUUGCUUUCAUUGGUACCACAUGAGGGUGCUUGUUUCAAUGGUAGUUGUUACUUAAGAAAGAAGAGCAAGCAACAGAAAUGACCCCUAUACUAAAAUCUUGUGUGAAAUAUAGAGUUUGGACUAUUUUUUAAAAUAUUGAUCAGCCCUUCAUUUUAAUCCCUGCUGAGUUUUUUUUUUUUUUUUUGCCCCCAUUCUGUAAAACAGGAGAUUUGAUGAAGAGUGCUGCAGGAGAGUUUGCAGAUGAUCCCUGCUCUUCUGUGAAGCGAGGCAAUAUGGUUCGGGCAGCUCGAGCUUUGCUCUCUGCUGUUACCCGGCUGCUGAUUUUGGCUGAUAUGGCAGAUGUCUACAAACUACUUGUUCAGCUGAAAGUUGUAAGUAUGGGCCUAUGUUUGUAAUUUGUUCUUUGUGUAUCAUAGUGAAGCUGAUGGUGGCCAUUCUUAGUUCAUCAGUUCUUAGGUUUUAGUUUGGUUUUGAAGUUUAUCUAAAUGGACCAUGCAUGUUUUUGUUUAGUUUAUGCUUACUACUUUUUCAAGUAUAUAUGAUCUGGGCCCUCCUAUGAGCCAGUGUUGUCUUGAUUCUAAGGAAGAACUUGUAGCAAAGGUAUUGUUUAGACUUCUUUGCAGUACUGAUUAAACAUUUCCUUGCAUUGGUAGAAUUGAAAAACUAAGAUACAUUAAAUUGUACACUUUUAGAUAGAGACCAAUAUUACUAUAUGUCCUUUCUACCUUUUGUAAAGCAUCCAUGUAAUAGGAGGUCCCUAGCAGCUCAAGAGAUUUAACUUUGAAUUGCUUUUGAGUAGUUGUUAAAAGGAAUUAAAAAAUAUUCUCAGAUACCAUACCAUACAUAUCAUUAUCAAUAGACUUGUAAGUCAGAACUUUUGUUUUUUGGGGUUGUGUUUUAUAGGUAGAAGAUGGUAUCUUGAAACUGAGGAAUGCUGGCAAUGAACAAGACUUAGGAAUACAGUAUAAAGCCCUGAAACCUGAAGUUGAUAAGCUGAACAUUAUGGCAGCUAAAAGACAACAGGUACAGUCAUUAUUUGGGGAUAUUUUAAAAUUGUUUAUAUUUAGUGAGGAAAAAACCAUUUUGCCUACGUUUUCUGAUGGUACCAUUAUCUUGCUCUGCUAAUACAGUUUAAUUAAAAUAUUUAAUCUAAGGUAUCAGUUCAGUAUUGUGCUCUUAACAGAAGUAUAAUUAUAAUAAAGUUGUAUUCAUGUUAUUCUCUCAUUUUAAUUUUGUGAAAAUUUUAAGUAGUUUAUCAUUUUUAAUGAAGAUAUAUAUGGGGAGGUGAUUGGCCUUUGUUAUAUGUGUUCAAGUAUUAAUGUGAGUUUUAGUAGAAUUAGUAGAAUUUAGAUCUUUAGGAAACCUAAACAAGUUAAAACAUAUUAAAGUUAUCUCUACAUCUGAGACCCUCCCUGCUGCAUUAUCACUUUUAAAGUGGCUCUUAUAAUCAUUACUAGUAGUUUUUGUUGUGUGAGGCAUGUGGAUCAUUAUUCUCAUUUUUUUCAAGUUCCACAACCUGUUUGGUAUUUUUGCUGUUGGGGUCUUUGAAAUCCUUCCUCUGUCUUUUCUGUUGGAUACUUUGUAUUUUAGGUUUGUGUUCUGCAAGGAGGAUACAUGCAUUGCCAUCCAGCUCUUUUAUAACUCCCUAAGUACUGAUGAAACUUACUCUACUUCCCCGCCUCAAGGAUGGUGCUAAGGAUUGAACCCAGUGCCUUCUGUAUUCUAGACAAGUGUUCUACCACCAAGCCACACCCCCUACCCAGCAACUACUUUUCUUAUAUUAAAACAAUCUCUGAGAGGCUGGAGUUGUGGCUCAGAGGUAGAGUGCUUGCCUACCAUGUGUGGGGUGCUGGGUUUGCUUCUCAGCACCACGUAUAUAAAUAAGUAAAUAAAAUAAAGGUCUAUCAACAACUAAAACAUAUUUAAAAGAAAACAAUCUCUGAAAGGAUGAAUUGUUAUUAUUACCUAAUACUCUUAUCAGUUAGGAUAUCUUGUACUGUCUGUACAGGAAACCCAACUCUUAACUCCUUGAAUAGAGGAAGUGGGUAUUUUUUCACUGACAAUAGCCAACAGUAAAAUGAAUAAUUGAUAAAGAAAAUGUAGUAUAUACAUGGAUUAAUACUCUCCAUCAUAAAAAAGAACAAAACAGUGUCAUGUGCAUAGCAUAGUGUUAACAGGAGAUCAUUAUGCUAAGUGAAAUACACUAGGCACAGAAAGAUGAGUGCUGUAUGAUUUUACUCAUAAACAGAAUAAAGAAGAAAUAAUAUGAGGGAAACCCUAUUGACUUUAACUUGUUUUUUUUUUUUCCUCACUUAAAAAUCAACUUUCUUCUAAACCUAUUGCUUAGAAACCAAACUUAUCGCUUCCACUAAACAAUGUUCAUAAUGAAAGCAGUACUAAAGUUACCAUUUGUCCAUUUCCUAUGCACAAAUAUACACAAAGUACAUAUUUUAUUAAAAGUUGAAAAAUUGUAAUCGUUUUAUUUUUUUUUAAAUACACAGCAGCAGAAUGUAUUACAAUUCUUAUUACACAUAUAGAGCACAAUUUUUCAUAUCUUUGUAUAAAGUAGGUUCAUGCUGAUUCGUGUCUAUGUAUAUAUUUGGGUUUUUUUGUAUUACAAUUCUUAUUACACAUAUAUACAACAAUUUUUCAUAUCUCUGUAUAUAAAGUAGGUUGACACCUAAUUCUUGUCUUCAUAAAUGUACUUUGGAUAAUGAUGUCCACCACAUUCCAUCAUCCUUGCUAAUCCCCUACCUCCUCCCUUUCCCUCCCUCCUGUCUUCCCUAUCUAGAAUUCAUCUAUUCAUCCCAUAUUCCCCCUCCCUACCUCAUUUUGAGUCAGUCUCCUUAUAUCAGAGAAAACAUUUGGCAUUUGUUUUUUUGGGACUGGCUAACUUCAGUUAGCAUUAUCUUCUCCAACGCCAUCCAUUUACCUGCAAAUGCCAUGAUUUUAUUGCUGAGUAAAAUUCCAUUGUGUAUAUAUGCCACGUUUUUUUUUUUAACCAUUCAUCACUGAAGGGCAUCUAGGUUGUUUCCACAGUUUAGCUAUUGUAAAUUGUGCUGCUGUAAACAUUGAUGUGGCUGUGUCCCUGUAGUAUGCUAUUUUUAAGUCCUUUGGGUAUAGUCCGAGGAGAGGAAUAGCUGGGUCAAAUGGUGGUUCCAUUCCCAGAUUUCCAAGGAAUCUCCAUACUGCUUUCCAUAUUGGCUGCACCAAUUUGCAGUCCCACCAACAAUGUAUGAGUGUACCUUUUUCCCCACAUCCUCGCCAACACUUAUUGUUGUUUGUCUUCAUAAUAGCUGACAUUCUGACUGGAGUGAGAUGAUAUCUUAGAGUAGUUUUGAUUUGCAUUUCUCUGAUUGCUAGAGAUGAUGAGCAUUUUUUCAUAUAUUUGUUGAUUGAUUGUAUGUCCUCUUCUAAGAAGUAUCUGUUCAGCUCCUUGGUCCCUUUAUUGAUUGGGUUAUUUGUUAUUUCGGUGCUUAGCUUUUUAAGUUCUUUAUAUACCCUAGGGAUUAGUGCUCUAUCUGAUGUGUGAGGGGGAAAGAUUUGCUCCCAGGAUGUAGGUAGGCUGUCUGUUCACCUCACAGAUUGUUUUUUUGCUGAGAAAAUCUGGACAUUUUUUUCAACAUGUUAUCUUUAGUGUACCUGUUGCUAGAUGGGUGUAGAUGUUCUAAGUGUGAUAUUUGCAUAUAUCAAUGUGUCCGAUGAGAAUAAAAGAUUUUUUUUAUAUGUCUCUCUUUGUGCAAACAACCUAGAAGCCCUCAUAAACUCACCCUGAAUCUGAAAUGUGCACAUAUAUACAUACCUAUGCUGUUUUUUCCUUUGUAUAUUAUGUGUAUUAUAAUUUGUACAUAAUGGUGGAAUUUGUUGUUACACAUUCAUGCUUGCACACAAUAUAACAGUAUAUUUUGGCCUUGAUUGUUCCCCCAGCACUUACCCCCUCCUUCCUUGUCUCCCAACCCCAGUUGUUCUCCUCUACUCAUCUCCCUUUGAUUUUCCUAAGAUUCCUACCACCACCUUUUUAAAAUCUUUUCCCCCUCUAGUUUCCACAUAUGAGAGAAAACAUAUAACCCUUGACCUUAUGAGUUUGGCUUAUUUCAUGUAACAUAAUGGUCUCUAGUUCCAUCUGUUUUUGUGCAAAUUACACUUCAUUUUUCUUUAUGGCUGAAUAAAACUCCAUUGGGUAUAUAUGUCAAGUUUUCUUUAUCCAUUUAUCUGUUGAUGAACACCUAUACUAGUUCUCUAGUUUGGCUAUUAUGAAUUGUGAUGCUAUGAUGUAUCACUAAAGUAUGGUGACUUUAAUUCUUAGAAUAAGUAUUGAGGAAUGGUAUAGGUGGGUCAUAUAGUAGUUCCAUGCCUAGUCUUUUGAGGAACCUUUACACUGAUUUCCAUAGUGGUUGUACUAAUUUACAAUCCCACCACCAGUGUAAAGGUGUUUCUUUUUCUUCAUCAUUUAUUAUUGUUUGUAUUCUUGAUGACUGCUGUUCUGUCAGGUGAGAGAUGAAGUCUCAGUGUAGUUUUGAUUUACGUUUCCACAAUUGCUAAUGAUGAACAUUUUUUCAUGAUUUUUUUUUUUUUUGGCCAUUUGUAUUUCUUCUUUUGAGAAGUGUUUGUUUAAUUCGUUUACCCAUUUAUUAAUUAGGUUAUUUGAGUUUUUUUGUGUUUAGUUUUUUUUUUUUUAGUUCUUUAUAUAUAUUCUAGAUAUUAAUCCUCUGGCAACAUGCCCAACAGGCCUAUAUGUCCCUCAAUAUCCUGGUUUUUAUCAUUGUUCACCCUAUUUUCUGCCCUGGGAUCUACCAUGUCUGGAUGCAUCAAUGGGCUCCUUUUGCCCUGUUAUUCCUGGUUAGGUUUGGCCAGUGGGAGCAUAAGCAGGAGGUUAAAGGAGAUAGGAGAGUGAAGUUGGGGUGUUUUUCAUAGACCCCCUACCUGCUGGUGGCCCUGGGUAGAUCCAAAGUUCCUGGGUUCCUGCACCCUGGAUUCUGGUAACUGUUGCUGCUUCAUGUCCCUUCAGACUUAAGUGACCUAAUAGCCUUGUGGUUUUCCUAUACUUCAUGUGUAUUCCUAGUUCUUUUCUUGUGAAUUAAAAUUCUGUUCAUUUUAUCUUAAGGGCCCAGCUUGUUGGAAACUUCACUCUGGAUAUUUCCAUAUUCAGCUGCAUUUGGAUACUAUCCGCUAGUUUCCUUCAAUAACUGGUCAUGUUUUCUCACACUGUGUUUUCUAAUAGAAUUCUUUUUCUGCUGUAUGCUUCCAUUGGUCUGUGUUCGCUUGACUUUUUCUUUUCUCCCCAGAAAUGUUAUGUGAUAAUUUGCUUCCUAAUUGAGCCUUUCAUCUUUGUAGGCACUUUGUCCAGGAAAAGGGAGUAUUUCCUCAAGACUGUGUGGCUCUCUUAACUGCCCUAGUAUCAUUUAACAACAGCUACCUAUUAAAGAAAACCUCAUAAGGUCCACGUGCUUUCUGGAAUUUACCUUUUUUGGUUUUGGAUAUGGCAUGGUAGUCAUGAUGACAUUGUUGACAAUAAUAUUAGAAUAAAACAUUUUGUUAGAGUUAUUCAUUAGUAACUCUAAGCAAGUGUUUACUAUGUGCCAAGCACUGUUAUAAGGUAUCCCCCCCCCACACCCCUUGCAGUGCUUGGGAUUGAAGCUAAGGCCUCAUGCAUUCUAGGCAAGUGCUCUACCACUGAGCUACAUCCUCAGCCCUAUUACAAAUCCUUUAUAAACACAAACUGAAUGUAAUCUUUUUUUUUUAAUAUUUAUUUAUUUAUUUUUCGGUGGACACAACAUCUUUGUUUGUAUGUGGUGCUGAGGAUCGAACCCGGGCCGCACGCAUGCCAGGCGAGCGCGCUACCACUUGAGCCACAUCCCCAGCCCCCAUGAAUUUAAUCUUAAGAAAGUAGUAAAUAGGCAGAUACUAUAAUUAUUCACAUGUUAAUUUUUGUAAAUGAAGGAACUGUAACACACAGAGGUUCUGUAAUCUGGCAAGGUUUUUCACUUAGUAAGUAGUGGAUCUAGGAUUUGAUCCUAAGCUGUCUCACUUAAGAACAGGGAUUUUGUCUGUUUUAUUGCUCCUAGAAUCCCUAGUGCCUAGAACAUUGCCUAGACUUAGUAUUUCUUCUUUCUUUUUUUUUUUUUAAUUGUAGGCAUACACAAUACCUUUAUUUUAUUUGUUUAUAUGGGGUGCUGAGGAUUAAACCCAGUGCGUCACACAUGCUAGGUGAGCACUGCACUGCUGAACCACAACCCAGGCCCUAGUAUUUCUUAAUAAUUAUUUGUUUAACAAAUGUAUAAACAGACUACUUGCUAUACUGCAGAUCUAUCCUGGAGUGGGAUUCUAAGUGUGGCUCUAAUUUGUUACUUUCUUGGGCUAAAAUAUUGUUUGCUAACUAGAAGUGUUGCAUUUCUAUUAGCCUCUAGGCUCUACUUUGACUGUAAGGGUAUCUUAAUACAUUUUCUGUUGUGUCUGAAUACUACAUACUGGGUGAUUUACAAUGAAUAGAUGUUUAUUUAGCUGGUAGUUCUGGGGGCAGAGAAAUCCAAGAGCUUGGUCCCAGUUGAUUUGCUCAGCAUCUACUGAGGGCUUUCUUGAUGCAUUCUAACAUGGAAGAAGGUAUCUCUUAUCAAGAGAAAGCUUGGAUCUCUUUUUCUCUCCUAUUAAAACCCUCAUGACCUCAUUCAAUCCUGAUUACCUCUCAAAAGCUUCACCUGCAAAUAGCAUUAACAUAUGAUUUUGGAGAUUGUUUUCAACAUGUAAACUUUUGGAGGAAUACAUUCAAACCAUAGCAAAGUGUAAAGGUGAUGGCAAAGUUCAAAUUGAGCUAACAUUAACCUUGGUUUCUGUAAGGAGGACCAAUGCUGACUCAUGCUGUCAACUCUGGGUCUCCAGCAUGCUAGGAACUUAGUGUUUUAAUGUUCAUAUUUCAUUCACCCAUCUAAGGACAACUUAUUUGAUAUUUGGAAGAACGUAAUGCCUCUUCUUUCUAUAAACUCUGCUUUGCAUGGUUAUUUUUCCAAAAAUUUGAACAGGUAUAUUAUUUUGUACCUGUAAAUAUGAUCUUUUGAAUACAAGACGAGAUGUGAUCAAAUAUAUCUGUGGCUAUGAUUUUAUCUUGUUAAAUAGGGAAAUAAGAAGAAACUUUCACUUGGGUAGAAAUAAUAUUAUACUCUGAUGAGAAGAUAGCUUCUACUUCCUGGUCAUUGAAUGGACUGGAUUGUUAAUUUGAGUUCUUUCCUCUAUGUUUUCUGUUUGGCUAUUCCUGAGUCGGUUUGAAUCAUAACUGGAUUGGUGAAGUUGAGGAAUCAUGAAAGCUAAACUAGACCACAGGAUUCUAAUUUAUUUUUUGGGUACCAGAGAUUGAAACUCAGGGGCACUCAACCACGGAGCCAUAUCCCCAGCCCUAUUUUGUAUUUUAUUUAGAGACAGGAUCUCACUGAGUUGAUUAGCGCUUUCGUUAUUUAGUGACAGGGUCUCGCUGAGUUACUUAGGGCCUCUCAGAGUUGCUGAAUUGGCUUUGAACUUGCAGUCCUCCUACCUCAUCCUUCCAAGUUGCUGGAAUUAUAGGUGUGUACCACCACAGCCGGCCCAAGAACCUUUUUUUUUUUUUCCUCUUUGAGUAAUUUCCAGUAACAAUGGGAUACAGAAAUGCCUCCUUCUGGUCUUGCUUAUUGUCGAUAUCACUUAACUGUUGCUUUGCAUAUGUUCUCAGCCUACCCAGUAGAUACCAUCAAUGGUAAGGAUGCCAGAAACCUCAGAUUCUUUUGUUGGAUCAAUAAUGGGGUACAGGAAAUAGAAAAGGAUAUUUUUCACUUAAGACUAUAUCUAUUCAGAAUAUUAUAAUCAUGGAUUAAAAUAAUGGAGCAUAUGAACCUCAACUUUAUGAUUUAAUGACUUGUGUACUGCUGAAUUUUAUUGGGUAAGGAAAGUUUGGUUCUGUGUUUUAGGGUUCUGUGUCUUGUGUCUUAGUCUUUGGGUUAUCAAAGGGGAGAGGAGUUCUGUACUUGUGAGAAUAACUGGGUAUAUCCUCACCUAGGUGGUUUCGCAUAGUUCACAUAUAACUAUGUUAUUCUGCUUCAGAUUUCCCCAAACUCUUCUAUUUUUUUUUUAAACAUUUACUUUUUAGUUGUAGUUGGACACAAUGCCUUUAUUUUGUUUACUUAUUUUUAUGUGGUGCUAAGAAUCGAACCCAGGGCUUUGCACAUGCUAGGCGAGCACUCUACCGCUGAGCCACAACCCCAGCGCCCCCAAACUCUUCUAAUUGACUUGUGUAACUUAACAAAUCCUUAUUAUCUUACUUUGUUUAAAUGUGUGUCAAAAUGAUUUUUAUAUUUUGGUUUGCUGGAAUAGGUACACAUAUCUAUGUAUAAUUAUAAUCAAGAUGCUGAGUAGUAUUAUGUUUUUACUGUGCUAUGCUAGGUGCUUUACAUGCAUUAUCCCAUUUAUUCCCCCAAACAACAAAAGAGCUUCUGUUACUGCUCAUAUUUUACAGAGGGAGAAACUGAGCACAAAGUGUAAAAUAAGGUCACAAUAGCCAGGAAAAAGUAGACUAGGAUAUUUAAAUCCAGAUUUCUGUGAUUCUAAAGCCCAAACACAACAUAUUAACUCAUACUGGUUCCUUUGUGCUUAACUUUCAAGUCAGAUUGUUAAUGAAAAUAAUUCAAGUUAGAUUGUUAAUGAAAGUAAUGUGUCUGAUAGGUAGAACUCUUAACUUUACUGCCUGUACCAGCAAAUUUUCAUGUGACUCUAACCCACAUAAAGAAUGCUCCAUUUUCUUAUUUUACUCUUGUAGGAACUGAAAGAUGUGGGCCAUCGUGAUCAGAUGGCCGCAGCUAGAGGAAUCCUGCAGAAAAAUGUUCCGAUCCUCUAUACUGCAUCCCAGGCAUGCCUACAACAUCCGGAUGUCGCAGCCUAUAAGGCCAACCGGGAUUUGAUAUACAAGCAGCUUCAACAGGCAGUCACAGGCAUCUCCAAUGCAGCCCAAUCUACAGCAUCAGAUGAUGCCUCCCAGCAUCAGGGUGGAGGAGGAGGAGAAUUGGCAUAUGCUCUCAAUAACUUUGAUGUAAGUUACACUUGAGAGGAAACUUCAGACUCUCACCAGUAUGCAAAAGAUGACACUUAGAUUUGUGAUAUAAGUAGAAGAAUCAUCAGUCUACUUAAUCAUAACUUGAUUUAAAGCAUUUAUCUUUUUUCUUAGCUUGGAUUGGAUUUCGGGAUUCUUUUUUGCAACAAGUAUAUUUCCUAUGGGGUCAUUCUUCUUCUUUUUUUUUUUUUCUUCCUUUUUUUUGGUUCUGAGAAGUAAACCCAAGGGCUACAUCUCCAGCUUCCCCUCCCCCCACUUAAAAUUUUUUUUUAGUUGUUGAUGGACGUUUAUUUUAUUCAUUUAUUUAUAUGCGGUGCUGAGAAUCCAACCCAGUGCCUCACACAUGCUAGGCAAGUGCUCUGCCAAUGAGCUACAACCCCAGACCUCCAGCCCUUUUUAUUUUGAGAUAAGGUCUCACUAAGUUGCUGAGGGCCUCACUUAUUGAGGAAAGCCUCAAACUUGUGAUCCUCCUGCGUCAGCCUCCUCAGUCAUUAGGAUUAAGGAUGUGUUACACUGCACCCGGCUAUGAGAUCAUUCUUUUUUAUUUUUUAAUUUUCUUUUCAGAUGUUGAUGGACUUUUAUUUUAUUCAUUUAUUUAUAUGUGGUGCUGAGAAUUGAACGAAGUGCCUCACACAUGCUAGGCAAGCACUCUAUCAAUGAGCCCCAGUCCCAAGAUCAUUCUUUAUUGAGGAUAUGAAUCUAGUUCAUUUGAUCCAAGAUUUUGACCUUCUGGAAGAUUCAUGAAGAUAUUGGAAAUAGAGCAGCAAUGUGUGCAGAGGUUUUGUCCCCUAAGAGAUCAUGGUCUAGUGGGGUAUACAGAUAUAUCAUAGUGACUGCUGCCAUCUUAAUCUUAUUUGUCUGCCUAGAUGUACUUCUCAGUAACUUUAAUUUGAAUCAUGAACAUAAAAUUUAAUCAAGUGGAAGCAGAUUUUGAAAUUAGCAUAAUACCACAUAUUGUGUGUAUAUACAGCCCUGUGUAUAUGACAUUAACUUCUUUGGUGGGUUUUGUUUUUAAUUCCUACCCAUACUGCUUCAUGGCUUCCAGUAGAUGGCAGCAGUUUAAGAUUUCUUUUUUUAAAGGGUAUUUUGUUUUGUUUUAAACCCAAUUGGUGGGGUAAUUUUUCUUUUUUUUAAAAUUAAGGUAAAGGAAACCAGUGUCCUUUCAGAAUAGAAAUAUUCAGGUUAUAGAAUCAAUACAAGGGGAGUGUAUUUUGUUUUUAACAUUUUUUUCUUUGCCUUAAUGUUUUCUUUGUCUGAUCCUUUAGGCUUUGUCUUAUCCUUUAGGCUUGUGUAACUGAUCCUUGCUGGUGUGCAUGGUUGAUUUAGGAUGGUCUUUUCAUGAAGCGUGAAGGCAGUGUUAAGCCUAAAGACCAUGAUAUUAGAAUUGAAAUUUUACCCUGGACCCUUAAACAUGAAAUAAAAUACCCAUUUAUAAGGAACUCUUAGGCUGCACCUAUAAUUUACUGGAACUGUUGUUUUCUCCUCUUCCAGUUUGACAGUAUUAGGUAUUUAUCUCUUUCAAGUUAGUAGGGGUCACAUUUUACCCUAAAUUAUUAAGUAAUAUCUGUAAUAUAAUAGCAGAAACCACUUAAUUUCUUAGAAUCACCGUUUCUUCAUUUGUAAAUGAGGGUUUGUCCUAAAUGAUCUGAGGCUCAUUGUGGCUCCACGAUUGUAUUACAAUUCUAUGAUCAUCCAUUCUUCAUUUCUAUUGGCCAGAAAGUAUUUUGUAUUCAGUUUUUAAUCAGAGAAAUCCUGUUAUGCAAAUUUGGUAAGAAAAAUGGUUAAGUAAAAUGUGUGGAUUAAUAAUAAAUUUAAAGUAUUACAUGUUCAAUUUUAAAACUGAGGUUUCUUUGGAAGGAAAGGAAAAAAUAUUUACUCAUUUGAAAACAUCAAGCUUUUUGUAGGAAAAAAAUUGGCAUUUAAAUUGAAAUUAAUAAGGACAUAAUCCUUAUAAAGAAAAAUUAAACCCAAAGUAAUUUGCACAGAUGGUUACCAUUGUGAGUGUAAAUUGUAUCAAGUGGGGACAUAGAUGAUCGAACUUGCACCUGUAGCUUACUUGUAUUUAGACCACACUCACUGGCAAAACUGUGUUUAAGUGGAGUCAGGAGGGAAGGGGAGAUGACAACAAUUUGUUUUUAGUGGAGCAAUUAUACUUCUUGCUAUCUUAGUGUACUUGUGGUCUUUGAGGAGGAAAGUUUCUAAUUUAGACACAAUAGGAUACAUUUGAGACCAAAUUGUUUAUAAAUCUUGAUUAGAUGUAUAAGGAGAGAAGUAGAUGGAAAUUAAUUUUAAUAAAUGCAUUUCUUUCUGAAAUUUUGGUGACAGAAGUAAAUUUUGUUUUUAUUUUUAAAUAUUUUUGUGUAGAACAAUUUUGCUACUCAUGUAGCAGUUUUAUACUUUGAAUGUAAGAAAGAUAAAUUAUUUUCCUUAUAAUUCUUAUUUGAUAAUAUGAAUUACUAAUACAGACUGACCUAUAGCUGUUUAGAAAAAGUAGUGUGGACAUGAUACAGUUGUAUUUGCAUUUGUGGUAUACCUUACCCAGACUGCUUGGCUGGAUAGUGCCUUUUUUGAAAAGUGAUUUAUUAUAGACCAACUUAUAGGAUGGCCCUUUAGCUACCAAGAAGAAUAACUUUCUAUUAGGUAUUAGAAUUAAAUCUUGAUAUUCCUAAACACUUUCCCUUACCUUGAAUGAUAAAGGGAACAGAGAUGAGCAUUCAUAUUCAAUAAUACUUUCUUGACAGAAACAAAUCAUAGUGGACCCCUUGAGCUUCAGUGAAGAGCGCUUUAGGCCUUCCUUGGAGGAGCGCCUGGAAAGCAUCAUUAGUGGAGCUGCCCUGAUGGCUGACUCGUCCUGCACACGUGAUGACCGUCGUGAGCGGAUCGUGGCAGAGUGCAAUGCUGUCCGCCAGGCCCUGCAGGACCUGCUCUCAGAGUACAUGGGCAAUGUGAGUGUCAGAAUCUUUCUUUAAAGUAAGAUAGUUGUAUCUCAGG
rnacentral:lncRNA from 1 species